UUGUUUUUUAGGUUGUCCAUUAGAUGUAAGUUUUUCUGAAUUUCAGACAUAUAUAGUUUUUGAUUAUGUCUACUUUCUAAUAUCGUUUGUUUGAUUUGCGUUUAGUUACCCGAAGAGUGUCAAGCUAGCACUAGCCGUUGUUUUUUAGGUUGUCCAUUAGAUGUAAGUUUUUCUGAAUUUCAGACAUAUAUAGUUUUUGAUUAUGUCUACUUUCUAAUAUCGUUUGUUUGAUUUGCGUUUAGUUACCCGAAGAGUGUCAAUGGGUGGUUUGGGUUGACCCAGCUCCUCCACUGCGUCUAGCCCUUGCUUUUGAAGAUUUGCAUGCAUAGGUUGAAGAUAGCUGGAUCAAAUGGCACCAUUAGAAGAAGGAAAACAUGGAGCUGGCAAGUAAGAACAUGGCUUUGAAGAAGAAACUUAGAGAGAGAUGAGAUGAUGCUCUUAUGGGCACUAUUGUUUGUGGGAAAUAUUAUAUUAGUUGUAUUGGUAUGGUAGAUGUACUGGUAUGUGCACUUGACUGUGUCGAUGACAAAUCUUAUGUGAUGCUGUUAUUAUUUGCACUUGACUGUAUCGACGGCAAAUAAAUCUUAUGUGACAACACACUGAAUAAGAUCAAAUAUUAAAGUUCGUAGCAACAUCAAGUGCAUAAUAGAGCAUACUACAACACCAAGUUCAUAGCAACAUCAAGUGUAGAACAGAACAUACUACAGCACCAAGUGCAUAAAGCACUCAGAAGUUCAACAACAAACUCAACACAAAUCAAAUAGGGCCCACUAUUUAAACAUCUAGAACUUCAGUUAUUUGCUCCUGAUGUUCUUGGCUGGGUUUGGAGCUUCCCUUGCUUUCUUCUAGUGUUCUUAGCUGGGUUGGGGCCAGUGUGUGGAGAUUCAAAUGGUGCUUGUGAUUUAUUUGUAGGAGAAACAACCUUGCUAUCAACACUGCUUGCAACAACUGAGCAGAAUGUACUUGUUGGUUGCAAAUCCGCACCUGUCUUCUCUUCCACACACUUUGGAGAAGCUCCUCUUUCUGCUGCUUUUUUUUUCUAGUUUUUCCUAGGGCUAAAACGUUUGCAAACAUGUCACAAAAUGUGAGGUAUGCAUGAAGAGAAAUGGAUUUUGGAAUUCAACACUUGCUUGUGUAGAAGCACCAUGUGAUGGUUCCUUUGGUGGUGGCAUUUGCUGCUGGACAACAUCAGGUAUUGGCUCAUCACCAUUCUCAUCUUGCACUUCUGCUACUGGUGGCUCAUUAGUUGUAGGAUGAUCAUCUGCAUUUUGUGCACCCCCAUGUUCUUCUUCUCGAAAGGCUGGAUCAACAGAUCGUGUGCAGCCCUUGGCUUGGUGUCUUCCACACCUCUUGCAUUUCUUCUUCCUAGGCCCAAGGCAUGUUCCUUCACUGAUAGCUCUAUUCCUUUGCUUUCUUGGCCUUCCCGGUGCUUGCUUCUCAACAGGAGCACACAAUUUGAAUCCAUGGCCUACUAUGUCCCACUGCUACUUGCCUUACAAAGCUAGUAAGUUUUAGCAUAAGUAUCUUUGAACAUCUCAACAGAGUAGUACUUAUGGACAUAUUUGUCAAUUUCAUUAGCAUCACCUCUUAGAGAAGUGAUGAAGAAAAGGGCAUGAAUGCAUGGCUUUCCAGUGACCUCGCAUUGUCUGCAACUGCAAGUCCAUUUUUCCACGUCCACACGGUACAUCCAUUCUCUCUUCUCUGUGUGAGUUGAAGCUACCUCAACCUCUGUGGGUCUUCUCCUAACAAUGCUCAUUUCCAAACCUUUAGUUUUUUUUCUAUUAAGGCCUUCGUUACUGCUGGUACAAUAUUGUUCCCAAUAAAAUGGUCAAUACAAAUUCUUUCUCUUAAGUCAAACUUCUCCAUAGUAUACUACCUGAUCUUGUCCAGCAUGUCCACUAGGUCUAGGCCUUCAUAUUUCUUGAUUCUAGAGUUGAAAGAUUCAACAAGAUUGUUGUUAACAUAGUCUACUUUGCUCAACUCAGUGAAAGCAGCUCUAGCCUAGAUUUUUUUUGUGGUGCUCCUCAAGAUAAUCAUUUACUUUGGGCCUACUUUUCAGCUGGUUCAGAUGAUAGUUGUGAUUCUUGGUGUUGUAUGUUAGUGAGCAAGGCAACAAAUUGUCAUCAUAAAACUUUCCUUUGAAUAUCUUACUGAAAUUUUCUGCCAAAUGUCUCAUGCACUCUCUGUACUCCACUCUAGGGUAAACAUCAUCAACAUCACUCUCUAGUCUUUUGCAUGCAUCAGUAUGUAUUACUAAACCUUGAGGAUGUCAUAUUGCUUCCUUCAGGUUAUUGAGAAACAAAAUCCAACUCUCAGUUGACUCCCCUUCAAGAACACCACAUGCAACAGGUAAUAACUAGCUAUGAGCAUCCAGGGCACAUCCUGCUACAAGUUGGAUCCUGAACCUACAAUGCAAUGCAGUUGCAUCUACAGCCAAGUAUGGCCUAGACACCUCCAAGAACCCCUUCUGACAAGCUUUGAAGCAUACAAAGGUAAAACACUUGUUAGAGCAUAUUUCUCCAUAUGUGGUUUUGGUAAUUGAUGACAAUCCGUAUGGACUAAUGGCUGCCUUGAGUUAUAUUCAAAGGAUUUGUCCAUAGGCACUUCUUGAAGUCCAUAUGUUGGUUUCAAGGAGUUUAUAUGAUGACCAAGGUGGCAUUCACGGUUUUAUCCAAAGAUUGGUCAUAAAGGCACAAGGUUGUUCAAGGCUAAGUCAAAGAGUGAAUCAAGUUGAUCAACACACAAAGCAUGCAAGAUGUACCAAGAGGGAUCAAAUGAUCCCAUGGUAUGGUAAGCAUUGUCCAUUACGCUUUGUGUACUAACCCAUGGUCUUCCUGAGAGUUUUAUGUGUGGUUAGGUGUGUUUCCAUGGGCUUGCAUCAAGAGGAAGAUCUCAUACAACUUAUGGAGGAUGACAUCAAGUGGUGUUCAUCAUCAAGAUUUCGGUGUGCAAGUUCAAAUGGAGCAUCACGAAGAAUCAUGCUUGAAGCUUGUCGUCCAUUGUGCUGGCAAUGGACUUGUGAAGAUGUGCUGAAGAGUGGCUCAUCCAUAGUGAGUAUGUGGGAGCAAUCAACUAGUCUUCAUCCAGCCAACGCAAUGAAGAAAGGUGGUCCAUCUUGAGGAAGUCAAGAUCGUCAUCAUCUAGCUCACCUCGACUAUGUGCAAGAUAGUAUCGCUCUCGGGCGGAAGUGCUUUGGCCCGUUCCGCUCGCUAGUGCCGCUACGUGUGGGUCUCGACACUUUUCAUGUCGGACUGAGCGGUUUCUGGAGCGGUGGUGCAGGGCGGUACUACUGCCCAGAAAGCGGUAGUACCGCUUGUUACUACCCCGCCAGAACCCCUUGGUAUUUUUGGGAUAGGUGUGGAGCAUGUUGUGAGACGAUAUAGGAGGCGGUAUGUCAGUGAAUACUCACAACAUAUGCCAUAGGUAGGCUAAAGUCGGUGAGAACCGAAGGGACAAAGGUGGGCGCUGAGAACAAGGUUGCUGCACGCAUGGGACGCACAAUGUACCCAGGUUCAGGGCUCUCCGUAGAGAUAAUACCCCUAAUCCUGCUGGUGUGUUUGAUGUAUGGGAACAGAGUACAAUGUCGCUCCUGGAGCUGUGUUGGGAGGAGGAAGAGGGGAGCAGCCGGCUCGUUUCCACCUCUCUCUCUGUGGGUUGGUAAGUGUGUAGUGUAGAGUGACUGGUGAAUGAUUGGCCUCUCUGCAUGGGGGGCGGUCGAGGGGUUUUAUAGACGAACCCGCCGGCCUACAAUAUGGAUAAAGGGUACAAGCGUGGGACCCGACUGGCUGCUUCGCCGGCUGGCCAGGGGCCCACAAGGGUCUUGUCUUGUCGAUGAGGGGCCCGCCGGCUGCAUGGUCUCGAUUGCCUGUGGGACCCGCCGGCUGGCUAAUGGGGCUCUCGCAUAAGGCUGACGCUGAGCACGCGCUGUACGUCAAGCGUCGCCCUGCGAGAUUCUUCAUGGGCAGGCAGUACGACCGCCUCCACUGUUCCCCACGCCGAGUGCAGUAAUGGAGUGGGAGUGUGACGGUCCGACACUAUGAUAGGUAAUGGAUCAGAGCCGGGGUAGGUCAGCGGUGUGGCCGCCGACGCUCGUACCUGCCGGGCGCCCUGAUCCUGUACCUUUGCUCGCGCGUAGCUACCUUUAAUUGUGAGGUCUCUUCAUGACCUACGAUCUGAUGUGACUUGUGAUCCUCGGCCGGCUAGCCUGCUUGGUCAGCCGGCUUGAGGGUGGACGCCUGCUCCUCAGUCCGGCUGGCGGGACCAGGCCGGCUCUGAAGGGGAGGCCGUCUGCAUUCUAGCCGGCAGGGGCUUCCUGGCCGGCCAAAAAGGUGGCCGCCUCGUCUUGCAGCCAGCAGGUGAUGCCUAGCCGGUCAGAAGACUUGGGCCUUGGGAAUCUCCAUAUCUUCAUGUCCAUUGGGCCGGAAAUGAUGGAACAUGCUUGAUGAGCCUACCCCGAGGUUAUCCCCCCGACAGUAGUCCCCAAAGCUAGCGAGGUCUGCCGCCUACGGGCGGGCGGCCUCACCGGCUUGUUGAUUUGUCUUGAUAUUUUGGCUGUUGUUCGCGGCGAAGGGCGCCGGCUUCGGAACCGGGUAGCUUCGAAGCGACGCCUCGGUCCAGUCAUAACUGGCCCGGAGAACGCCACGUGCCAGGCCCCGCCUGGCGUAAUGAUGGCGAUUAAUGCUGACGGGACCGGGCCUGGGCCCUGGGUCCCGCCACGAUGCCUCCUCGGCCUCCGCGUGGGAGAUCGUCUACGGAUUUACUCCGCGAUGGUUGGGCUUAGGGGGGCAUUACCGCCCGUAAUACACGGAAUUAAUGGGCCCCGGCGCGCACCGGAUCCCCUCCCCACGACGCUUCGUUGGGGUUUAAAUGGGACGCAAGGGUUUCGAGGAGGCCAUUCGCCCCCUCUUCUCGCCUUGCUCCGUGCUCUCUUCCUCCUUGCGUCCUGAGAAGAAAAGCUCGCGCCCUGUGUCUUCUUCAUCUUCGCCGUCGAGACCUCCGUCGACCGCUUCGAGCUCUCGCCACACGCAACCAUGGCCGGCGGAUCUUCCUCGAAGAAGUCGUCGGCGCAGCAGGCGUCCUCGCAGGGGGCCUGGCUGGGUAGCGACGUCGACGAGGGGCACAUCGAUGCGCUUCGUCACCAUCGACUGCUGCCCACAGCCUCCCAAGUGUCGGUGCGCCUUCCUAGCUCCGAGACCACUCCCGCAACCGCCGCGGGAGAGGUUGUGGUCUUCGUAGAGCACUUCUACGGGGGCUUCGGGCUCCCGGCUAGCUCCUUCUUCGCCGAAUGGCUCCAGUUCUUCGGCCUGCAGCCGCACCACCUCGCGCUGAACGCCAUACUGCAGCUGGCUGCCUUUGUGGUGUUGUGCGAGGGCUUCGUGGGGAUCGAGCCUCGCGUCGAUCUGUGGCGCAGCUUGUUCUUCUUCAAGCAACAGUCCAUCGCCAUGGAGAAAUUCGAGGUGGAGAAGCUCAAGGGGCCGCGCCCCAUGACGCCGUGCGGGGCCGCGUUGGUGCAUCAUCGCCUGUAGUCCGGCUUCCCCCAGAUGCCUCUGUUUUGGGGGGAUAACCCCGGGGUAGGCUCAUCAAGCCUGUUCCUUCAUUUCUGGCCCAAUGGACAUGAAGAUAUGGAGAUUCCCAAGGCCCAAGUCUUCUGACCGGCUAGGCAUCACCUACCGCCUGGAAGACGAGACGGCCACCUUUCUCGCCGGCCAGGCAGCCCCUGCCGGCUAGAAUGCAGGCGGCCUCCCCUUCAGAGCCAGCCUGGUCCCGCCAGCCGGACUGAGGAGGAGGCGGCCACCCUCAAGCCGACUGACCAAGCAGGCUAGGCGGCCGAGGAUCACAAGUCAGAUCAGAUCAUAGGUCAGGAAGAGACCUCACGAUUAAAGGUAGCUACGCGUCAGCAAAGGUACAAGAUCAGGGCGCCCGGCAGGUACGAGCGUCGGUGGCCACGCCGCUGACCUACCCCGGCUCUGAUCCAUCACCUAGCAUAGUGUCGGACCAUCACGCUCCCACUCCAUUACUGCACUCGGCGUGGGGAACAGUGGAGGCGGUCGUAUUGCCUGCCCAUGAAGAAUUUCGCGGGGCGACGCUUGACGUACACCGCGUGCUCAGCGUCAGCCUUACGCGAGAGCCCCAUUGGCCAGCCAGCGGGUCCCCCAGGCAAUAGAGACCAUGCAGUCGGCGGGCCCCUCAUCGACAAGACAAGAUCCUUGUGGGCCCCUAGCCAGCCGGCGAAGCAGCCAGCCGGGUCCCACGCUUGUACCCAUUAUCCAUAUUGUAGGCCGGCGGGUUCGUCUAUAAAACCCCCCGGCCGCCCCCCAUGCAGAGGGGCCGAUCAUUCACCAGUCACUCUACACUACACACUCACCAACCCACACAGAGAGAGGUAGAGACGAGCCGGCUGCUCCCCUCUUCCUCCUCCCAACACAGCUCUAGGAGCGACAUUGUACUCUGUUCCCAUACAUCAAACACACCAACAUGAUUAGGGGUAUUGUCUCUACGGAGAGCCAGGAACCUGGGUACAUUGUGCAUCCCAUGCGUGUACCAACCUCGUUCCCAGCGCCCACCUUUGUCCCUUCGGUUCUCACCGACUUUAGCCUACCUAUGGCAUAUGUUGUGAGUAUUCACUGACAUUUGGCACCCAUCGUGGGGCCGAUCGCGGCAUCGGCUGGCUUUACACGCUGGGCGGGACCCCGCACCUACCACACCGGAUGCAUCGCGUCCGGAUUAGUCUGCAUGCCCGUGGAGCCUCCUUUCGACGAGGCAACACCCAUGAUGAUCGACGUCCCCGUCCGCCAUGCGGAUUCGGAGGAAGAUUCUGAUGACGAGGCGCUCCCUAGCGUCGUCGUCGCUACCAUGGAGAACCUCAGCAUCCUCUUCAGCAACCUUCGUCUCAACGACGGCCCGCGCUACUUCGGCGAGGACUACGACGUUGAGGCGCUCUGCGCCAGCUUCAGCAGGCUCUGUAUCGCUGAGAUGUCUGCCCACGACGUUUAUCUUAGUAACAUCCUCAUCUUCGAUGGCCCUCCGCCGUCGGUAGGGUUCUUCACCCCAUACAAUGUUACUGCCGUCUCCAACACCGUGGAGGUGAUGGUUAUCGGCGUUGGCACCAGCGCGGCUCCCGGCAAGGCCUCUGUAGGCGCCGGCGAGCCCGCUGCAGCCGCCACUGAUACUCUUCGGGACACCAUCACCGGCCUGAAGACACCGGUCACCGCUUCCGCCGACCCUACAGACGCUCGGGCCUCGCUGGAGGAGGCUCGCAAGCGUAUCUUGGAGGAGGGCAUCGUUGUGGCCUCAGCGAAACGUCGGUUGGAGGCUACGCCUCACGCGUAUAACUCCGCGUACGGUCUCACUCUGAUUUCCGAGGCCCCUAGUCGGCUUAGAUCGGACCGCAGCCGCGGCCGGUUCGUCGCCGAAGUUCUAGGCGGGGAUCUGCCCACCUACGAGACUCCUGCGGCCAACAUGCGAGCGGCGCAGGCAGCCAUGGAGGAGAUGGCAAGCCUGGAGAAGCGUGACAAGGAUCUCCUUGACGCCGCCAACCAACAACAUGCUCGGAUUGACCCUGGUCAGGCUCAAUCGGAGUCCCCGGGACCAAACUCGGGGGAUCGCCGCAACACUAGCGGCCAGCACCACGCCGAAGGAUCUUCCUCGCAUCGCCCUUCCGGCUGGAGGGGCGAGGGAAGCCAAGACCGGCGCUCGCAGCGCCAGAGCGAGCACACUUCGGGCUUACGUCAUGGAGGUGACGAGGGCGAUUUGGAGUACGGGGAUCUUCCCCCGCGAAGAACUCACGCCUCCGGCUCCUGAGGCGCCUCCCCUCUCGCCACCGGGGCUGGCGCCCCCGCCACCCAGGAUGAGCGGGACGCUCGCCGGCGUAUCAUCGCCCUGGCCGAUUCGGCUCUCCUAGAGGAAGACAGACCCGUUGGUCUCGCAUGCUUUGGCCCCCGGAUCCGAGGGGAGCCGUUCCCCGAGGUUUCACCUUGCCUCGGGAUACGCCAAAAUACAACGGCACGGCCAAGCCAGAAGACUAGCAGAUCGACUACACCACGGCCGUAGGCAUCGCCAGGGGCAACAAGCGCGUAGCGGUUCGCUACGUGCCACUCAUGAUGGCCGGCUCGGCCCGGACUUGGCUUAAAAGCCUCCCGGCCGGCAGCGUCAGCUCCUGGGUGGACUUCGAGGAGGCGUUCGGCCGCAACUUCACUGGCACAUACAAGCGCCCUGGCCGGCCCCGCGAGCUGGCCAUGUGCGUCCACAAGGCCGACGAACCCCUUCGCGACUACGUCACCCGAUGGACUGAGCUCCGCAACUCCUGCGAGGGGGUGCAUGAGGUACAAGCCAUCCAAUACUUCAUCGACGGAUGCCGAGAUGGCACCCUCCUCAACCACAAGCUCAUGUGCGCCGAGCCCACCUCUUUGGCGGUGCUCAUGGCCAAGGCGAACAAGUACGCCAAGGCCAACUCCGCAAUGCGCAUCAAGGUGGCUGCCUUGGACAAGGUUGUGCCUGCGCUGGCUACUCCCAGGCUGGCUGGGGACAACCGAGGCGGCCAGAACAACUACAAGCGCAAGGCGGAUCAGGUGGAUCCCCGCUCCAACAACAAGCUGGUGGCCAAUGUGGAGGGCGAGGCGUCGGCUUCUCAAGCCGGCCCUCCACGAAAGCGUCGCAAUCAGGGCAACCCCAACUGGCUGCCCAAGCAGUCUCUCGAGAAGCUGUUCGACGCCCCCUGCAAGAUACAUUCUGGGGCGACACCGUCUACCCAUACCCUUCGACAGUGCAGCGUGGCACGCCGGCCGUCGUAAGGGGAGGGCCUACCGGCUCCUCCGGGUGCGCAGGCGGCGCCCCGUGCACCGGCUCUCAAUCGCGCCCCGCUUCCGCCGCCACCGCCUCGCGAUGACGGUCCUCACCCUGACGACUAUCCUCAUCAAGACGGAGCAUUCGUCGUCUUCACCAGCGAAGGUGACGACAAGCACAACCUAUGCCAAAGGCUGCGCGAGGUAAAUGUCACUGUCCCCCCGGUUCCCUAGUACAUGCAUUGGUCUGACAAACCAAUCACAUGGAGCCGGGUGGACCAUCCUGCGGUGAUGCCCAACCCGGGGUCAUACGCACUCGUCCUCGACCCCACCUUCGCCUCCAAAAGGCUCACUUGCCGAUUCUCCCGGGUGCUGGUCGAUGGCGGCAGCAGCAUCAACAUCCUCUACCUCGACACUCUGUGCAAGCUCGGGCUCAAGGAGACGGACGCCCUGCCAACCAGCACUGUCUUCCAUGGCAUCGUGCCUGGGCAGUCAUGCUCGCCCAUCGGCAAGAUCCAGCUGGACGUCCUCUUCGGCGACAAGGCCCACUUCCGCCGAGAGUCCAUAUGGUUCGAGGUAAUGGACCUCAGUAGCCCAUAUCAUGAGCUGUUGGGGAGACCGGCUCUGGCCAAGUUCAUGGCUAUUCCGCACUACGCCUACCUAAAAAUGAAGAUGCCGGGUCCCAAGGGCAUCAUCACUGUUGUUGGCGACUACAAGAAGUCGCUCGAGUACGCCCAAGAUAGCAGCCGCCUCGCCGACGCCUUGGUGAUUGCUGAGGAGAAGCGGCAGAUCGACCGGCUCAUGGCCCAGGAUACCGAGCAGCCGGCGAGUCCUUCUCCUCCGUCCCAAUCGGCCGGCGAGGGAUCUUUCAAGCCGGCUAAAGAGACCAAGCAGGUCCCACUUGACCCUGCCAACCCGAAGCAGUGCAUCACCAUUGGGGUUGGCCUCAGCCCCAAAUAGGAAGGCGAGCUCGUCGACUUCCUCUGUGAGAAUUGGGACAUCUUUGCGUGGUCCCCCAAGGACAUCCCGGGUGUUCCGAGGAAGUACGCCGAGCACAAACUUCACGUGUGACCGGAUGCAAAGCCGGUGAAACAACCUUUGCGCCGCUUCGCCGAGGGGAAGCGGCGCACAAUCGGAGAAGAGAUCACCCGGCUCCUUGUAGCCGGCUUCAUCAUGGAGGUUUUCCACCCGGACUGGCUAGUGAACCCAGUCCUGGUCCUAAGGAAGAACAACACCUGGAGAAUGUGUAUCGAAUACACUAGCCUAAAUAAGGCAUGUCCGAAAGACCCUUUCGCAUUGCCUAGGAUAGAUCAAGUGAUCGACUCCACUGCAGGCUGCGAACUGUUGUCGUUUCUGGAUGCUUAUUCGGGCUACCAUCAAAUCAAGCUGGAUCCAGCUAAUCGCACCAUGACGUUCGGUCUGAAGAUCGCAGGUGCGAUGUUCCAACGCUGCAUGCAGCAGUGCCUACUGCCACAGAUUGGCAGAAACAUCCACGUCUAUGUGGAUGACAUCAUCGUCAAGACGAAGCAGCACUUCAGCCUCCUCGACGACCUGCGGGAGACAUUUGCCAAUCUGCGCGAAUACAAGAUCCGGCUCAACCCUGAGAAGUGCGUCUUCGGGGUCCCAGGCAGCAAACACUUGGGGUUCUUCGUAUCCACCGGCGGCAUCGAAGCGAACCCUGAGAAGAUCGGCACCAUCGAGCGGAUGGUGCGGCCGGCUCGGAUCCUCGACGUCUAGAAGUUCGCCGACUGCUUGGCAUCCCUAAGCCGGUUCGUCAGCCGGCUUGGCGAGAAGGCCCUUCCACUCGACCAGCUCAUGAAGAAGACGACGAAGUUCGAGUGGAACGACCAGGCGGAGGAAGCCUUCCGCGACCUCAAGCGGGUAAUCUCGAGCCUGCCAAUCUUGGCAGCCCGAUCUGAAAGGGAACCCAUACUCAUAUACAUCGCGGCGACCACUCGAGUGGUCAGCGUAGUGUUGGUAGUUCAGCGCAAAGAGGAAGGCAAGGCCCUGCCAGUGUAGCGCCUUGUCUACUACCUUAGCGAGGUCUUGUCCGCCUCUAAGCUCUACUGUUCCAAGGUAGGCAUCCGGCUCGACUUGGCCUCAGUGGCACACCCUCAGUCAAACGGCCAAGCAGAGAGGGCCAACGGCCUGAUCCUAGCCGGCAUCAAGCCAAGGCUCGUGGCACCACUGGUCAGGUCAGCCGGCUGCCGGAUUGAAGAACUGUCGGCUGUGCUAUGGAGCCUCCGCACCACGCUCAACCGGUCGACCGGCUUCACUCCAUUCUUUCUGGUAUAUGUGUCUGAGGCUAUUAUCCCCACGGAUGUCGAAUUCGACUCGCCUCGGGUCACCCUAUACAUAGAAAUGGAGGCGAAGGAGGCGAGAGAAGACGGUGUGGAUCUCCUCGAAGAAGCAAGGGACUUGGCUUUGAGCCGGACGACCAUCUACCAACAAAAGCUGAGAUACUACCACAACAAAAAGAUCAGGCCUCUCUCUUUCAGAGAGGGAGACUUGGUCCUCAGAAGAACCCAGCACACUGCCGACCAUCACAAGCUCUCACCCCUCUAGGAGGGACCCUUCAUCAUCAGUAGGGCGCUGCACAACAACGCUUACUACCUGAUUGACGCCCAGAAGCCAAGGAAGCGCAAGAGGGACGACUCCAGCCAAGAAACGGAGCGCCCAUGGAAUGCGGUGUUGCUUCGCCCGUUCUAUUGCGAAAAGGCAGAAGAAAAGCAAAGGAAAGAGCAUGCACAUGUAUCUUCCUCCCUCUUCAGGGAACAACGCACGCAAUAAAAAGAACAUGCUCCAUGUUUCUUUUUGUCAAGAGUUUUCACCCAGUGCACGGGCUACACAGCGUACCACCUCUUGCUAGCUUAAUCAAGCUCGGAGGGUACGCAGCGCGGCCCCUUGCUAGCUUUCGCAAGCUCGGGGGCUCGCGAGCCGCGUGAACGGUCCACCCUUAUAACGGACACAUAGUGUACCGGCUGACUCCUAGUCCUUCGCUCGAACCUGCGGGCUGGCUCCGGCCGCUCGGUUCGCGAUAUGACGCCAGGUAAGGUCGAAUACAUGCAAAGUCCGGCUAUACUUGGGACGAUCGGCUCGGGCUGGCUCGAUCGUAUAUACGAUCUCAUUCAAGACUCAAGACGACCUCUGACUGCCGGUAACAACAACUACAAUGAAAAGAGCAUGCUCCAUGCUUCCUCUUGCUAAAAGAGUUUUCACUCAGUGUACGGGCUACACUGCGUACCAGCUCUUGCAGGCUUAGUCAAGCUCGGAGGCUACGCAGCGUGGCCCCUUGCUAGCUUUAAACAAGCUCGGGGGCUCGCGAGCCGCUCGGACGGUCCACCCUUGUAGUCGGGCACAUAGUGUACCGGCUGAAUCCUGGUCCUUCGCUCGAGCCUGCGGGCUGGCUCCGGUCGCUCGGUUCGCGAAGUGACGCCAGGUCAGGUCGAAUACAUGCACAGUACGGCUAUACUUGGGACGACCGGCUCGAGUUGGCUCAUUCAAGCCGGCCUUUGAUUGGCUUAUGUCCUGUUCUUUACGUCUUGAUGGCUUCGGAUAAGAGAAGUCAACCAGGAAUCAAAAGACGAGAUCAUAAGACAACACACUUGGUGACGAAUAUAAUGCUAAAUAUAUACAUUCAUAAAAAGCAUUGGCCCACGGCCCACGUUCGUUACAUCCCUCCGGGGGUAGAACCAAAAACACAGAAGGACACCAGUUACGGGACAUCGGCCUGAGUCGUCGUCUCGGCUGCUGCUCCUGAUGUGGUAGCAUCACCGCCUCCGGCUCCUCCCGAGGUGGUUGCGCCGUCUCCCCUGCUGCGGCCCCCGGCUCCGCUGAUCCUGGAGUCGGCAUACGCCCCACCGCUGGAGGCGGCUGCAGAUUCCGUAGCCGAGACCGCCUCGUCGGAGCUGCCGUCGGCGUCGUAGGGCUGAAGGCCGUGCAGAUCUUUAGCGAUCACGUCGUCGUCUUCACCCGCUCCAAGACGAAGUCAUCCCAUGCCGCGUACUCGGCGACGGCGACGGCUCUCACCCGGAGCUCCUCCUCCAUGCCUUGCAGCUCCACCUCUGAGCCGUCACGCUGGGCAGCCAACUUGCCCAAGUUCAGGUUCCGAUACCAUGACUUGGCAAAGCGCAUGGCCAUAUAAGCCCCAGACCGCGCUGCGGAGGCACGCCAGGCGUCCAGGCGCUCUCCACCCGUUGCGAGCCAGCGGGGAAGCCGGCUCAUGGUCGUCGGCUCCACGCCCUCUGGCCACAGGGCCGCCACCAUCGACGAACCUGCAACCUGGAGCUGAGUCACAGACUCGCCCAGGAUGUGCAAGCGGGCCCGAAGGCCCACCCCGAUCUCCUCCACGCUCCAGCCGGAGGUAGCAUCUACCUCCUGCCCGGCCGCGCGGCGCUCCUCAUGGCACGCCUCAACGGCGGUGUCGGUUGCGACCUGGGUCUCGGGGAAGAGAUCUGGAGUAACGGCAACCAGGACGUAAGAACACAACAAGAGGAGGAGACGGCAAAAAGACCAAACACGAAACAAGGAAAAGAGACCCACGCUGGAAGGCGCCGUCGGUCUCAUGAGGGACCUCGAGGACCUCGCGCUCCCGCACCUUACUCGCAUGAGUAAGGCAGGCGAUUUCCUCCUGGAGGGUCAUUGCAGACUCCAGGGCCUUAGCCAGCUGUGUGUGCUUCUGGGUAAGGGCUUCAUCCUUCUCCCUCAAGGCGGCGUCCUUGAGGUCCACCUCCUUGAGGUGAAGUGACGUGAGGCGGUCCACGUCGGUAGAGUAGGAGGCCUCCUUCUCCUGGAACGUGGCCCGCAGCCGCUCCAACUCGACCCGGCCAGCCGCCUCGAGCUCCUUCUUCUCUGCCUGAAGAAGGUCCAGCUGCUCUUGGAGCCGGCCGCCGACGGCGCGCAGGGCAUCAUGCUCCAUGGCAACCUCGCCCAGCCGGGCUUCAAGCUCGGCAAUCCGGCUAUCAGCCCCCAGGUGCUGGUCCCGAAGCUCGUUGUAUGCCUGUACCUGAGCAUCGUAAAACACCUGCCAAAGGGGAGAGAAAGGGAACAUGAUUAAGAUUCGACCUGGUUAAAAGCCUAACCAGCCCGAUUCUCGGGGGCUACACCCAGUGGGUGCGCUUGCGCGCCCCCACUGAAGAAAAACAAUGCAGAGAAAAAGUCCAAGAGAUUCGGACCGGUUAGAAACCAACCCGCCCGAUUCUCGGGGGGUACACCCAGUGGGUGCGCUGUCGCGCCCCCACUGACGCCAAGAGAAGAGAAAGAAGUGCAAAGAAAAACCAAAGAAGGCAAGGCCUACCUAGUGUUGUGCGAGGGCUUCGUGGGGAUCGAGCCUCGCAUCGAUCUGUGGUGCAGCCUGUUCUUCUUCAAGCAACAGUCCAUCGCCAUGGAGAAAUCCGAGGUGGAGAAGCUCAAGGGGGCGCGCCCCAUGACGCCGUGCGGGGCCGCGUUGGUGCAUCACCGCCUGAAGUCCAGCUUCCCCCAGAUGCCUCUGCAAGACUCCAUCAAGCAUUGGCAGAAGGGCUUCUUCUACGUGAAGAGCGCCGACCCGGCCCAGGACGCCCUCAACAUGCCCCCGUUCGCCAUCGCUCCUCCGACGCGGCGGAACUAGGAUGCGAAGACUCCCAAGCCGCAUCCCGAGGUGGCGCUUAUCUGCGCCCACCUCGAUAUCUUGGGGAAGAGCGGCCUCCUCGGCCGCGACCUUCUCGCCACCAUGGUGGUCUGCCGGAUUCUGCCUCUGCAGAGGCGGCCGCAUCUGGUCUGCCAGAUGAGCGGCCGACUUGAUCCCUGUCGGCUGUCCGCCAAGAGGUUCACCCCGGGCACUGUGGCGCAACGGGUGAACCUGAUCUCCACCACCCGCAUGGAUGAGGGCGGGGAAUGGACAUGUGGGAUGCCCCCGUUCAGCCGGGCUCACCCGCCUCCUAUGGUAGCCUUAUUCUGUUCUUCUUUGUUGUUUUGUCUUGGAGCCGGUGGCGCUGCUGAGCCUGGUUGAAUUCCUUUUUUGUAGAUGUUCAAGACCCUGCAGGGGUCCCUCCAUCAGCCUGCUCUUGAUGUGGAGGUGUCCGACGCCUCCGAGAUGGAGGACGAGGGUGCGAUGGAGCCCCGCUCAGACUGCUCCACCGGCUCAGAAGAUCCCCUGGGGUCGGAAGGGACCGAGCCAUUUGGUGAGUACCCGCGGCACGCCGUAGCAGACUGGACGGACGACGAUGAGGAAGCCUCAUUCUGUUCUGAUACAGCCUUCGAGGAAGACUCCGACGAGGUGGAGGAGGUCACCAGCUCACUACUGACGCGUGGCCAGCGUCAAGGUGGCGGAGCGACCGCUGCUGACGAGGCAACCGAGAAGAAGGACAAGGGUGCCACAGCUUCCCGGCCGGCCUCUAAGCGACCGGCGCCGGGUCCUCCAGCCGGGCAGCGAGCAGACGGCGCCAAGAGGCGCCGUGGCGGUGGCCGGAGGCAGGUCCCAGUAGUUGCAGGGUAUGGCUUGUUGGGUAACGUAGCAUAAAUUCAAAAUUUUCCUACGCUUAUUCAGAUCUUCCUAUGGAGAGACCAGCAACGAGAGAGGGGUAAGAGCAUCUUCAUACCUUUGAAGAUUGCUAAGCGGAAGCGUUUGCUAGAACGCGGUUGAUGGAGUCGUACUCGCGGUGAUUCCGAUCUAGUGCCGAACAACGGCACCUCCGCGUUCAACACACGUGCAGCCCGGUGACGUCUCCCGCACCUUGAUCCAGCAAGGAGGAGGGAGAGGUUGGGGAAGAAGACCAGCAACACGACGGCGUGGUGUUGGUGGAGAGACGAGGUCUCCCAGCAAGGCUUCGCCAAAGCGCCGGCAGAGAGGAGGAGGGAGAGAAGCAGGGCUGCGAGAGAGAGAUUAAACCGUGUCUCAAACAGCCCCGAACCUCAUCUAUAUAUAGGGGGAGGGGGAGGGGGCGCAGCCCUUAGGGUUCCCACCCCUAAGGGGUGCGGCAGCCCUUAGAUGGGAGAGGGGUGGCGGCCAGGGCAAGGGGGAGGGGUGGCGCACCCCUCUCGUGGGCCUAAGGCCCACCUGAGUUAGGGUUCCCCCCCUCUUUUCCUUUCCCCUGCGCCAUGGGCUGAGUGGGGAGGCGCACCAGACCAACUAGGGGCUGGUUCCCACCCCCACUUAGCCCAUCUUACCUCUUGGGGUCGCAGCCCCCCUUCGGUGGUCCCCCGGGACCACCUCCGGUGGUCCCGGUGGUUCCGGUACGUUACCGGUGAUGCCCGAAACACUUCCGGUCUCCGAAACCAUCCGUCCUAUAUAUCAAUCUUUACCUCCGGACCAUUCCGGAGCUCCUCGUAACGUCCUGGAUCUCAUCCGGGACUCCGAACAACUUUCGGUAAUCUCGUAUAACAAUUCCCUAUAACCCUAGCGUCAUCAAACCUUAAGUGUGUAGACCCUACGGGUUCGGGAGACAGGCAGACAUGACCGAGACACCUCUCUGGCCAAUAACCAUCAGCGGGGUCUGGAUACCCAUGGUGGCUCCCACUAGCUCCACGAUGAUCUCAUCGGAUGAACCACGAUUUCAAGGAUUCAAUCAAUCCCGUAUACGAUUCCCUUUGUCUGUCGGUAUAGAACUUGCCCGAGAUUCGAUCGUCGGUAUACCUAUACCUUGUUCAAUCUCGUUACUGGUAAGUCUCUUUACUCGUUCCGUAGCACGUCAUCGUGUGACUAACUCCUUAGUCACAUUGAGCUCAUGAUGAUGUUCUACCGAGUGGGCCCAGAGAUACCUCUCCGUCACACGGAGUGACAAAUCCCGAUCUCGAUUCGUGCCAACCCAACAGACACUUUCGGAGGUACCCGUAGUGCACCUUUAUAGUCACCCAGUUACGUUGUGACGUUUGAUACACCCAAAGCACUCCUACGGUAUCCGGGAGUUGCACAAUCUCACGGUCGAAGGAAAAGAUACUUGACAUUAGAAAAGCAUAAACAUACGAACAAUACGAUCUAGUGCUAGGCUUAGGAUUGGGUCUUGUCCACCACAUCAUUCUCCCAAUGAUGUGAUCCCGUUAUCAAUGACAUCCAAUGUCCAUGAUCAGGAAAUCAUGAUCAUCUAUUGACUAACGAGCUAGCUAACUAGAGGCUUGCUUGGGACACAUUGUGAUCUAUUCAUUCACACAUGUAUUAGUGUUUCCUGUUAAUACAAUUAUAGCAUGAAUGAUAGACGAUUAUCAUGAACAAGGAAAUAUGAUAAUAACCAUUUUAUUAUUGCCUCUAGGGCAUAUUUCCAACAGUCUCCCACUUGCACUAGAGACAAUAAUCUAGUUACAUUGUGAUGUAUCGAACACUCAUAGCAUUAUGGUGCUGAUCAUGUUUUGCUCGUGGAAGAGGUUUAGUCAACGGGUCUGCAAUAUUCAGAUCCGUGUGUACUUUACAAAUAUCUAUCACUCCAGUUUGGACAUGGUCCUGGAUGGAGUUGUAGCGGCGCUUGAUGUGCUUCGUCUUUCGGUGAAACCUGGGCUCUUUGGCUAUGGCAAUGGCUCCAGUGUUAUCACAGAAGAGUGUCAUAGGACCCGACGCGCUUGGAACCACUCCAAGGUCGGUGAUGAGCUCCUUCAUCCAAAUUCCUUCAUGAGCCGCUUCUGAAGCAGCUAUGUACUCCGCUUCACAUGUAGAUGCUGCCACGACUUCUUGCUUGCUGCUGCACCAGCUCACUGCCCCACCAUUCAACACAUAUACGUAUCCGGUUUGUGACUUAGAGUCAUCCGGAUCUGUAUCGAAGCUAGCAUCGACGUAACCCUUUACGACGAGCUCUUCGUCACCUCCAUAAACGAGAAACAUUUCCUUAGUCCUUUUCAGGUACUUAAGGAUAUUCUUGACCGCUGUCCAGUGUUCCGCACCGGGAUUACUUUGGUACCUUCCUACCAAGCUUAUCGCAAGGUUUAUAUCAGGUCUGGUACACAGCAUGGCAUACAUUAGAGAGCCCACGGCUGAAGCGUAGGGGACAUAACUCAUCUUUUCUCUAUCUGCUGCCGUGGUCGGCGACUGAGUCUUACUCAAUCUCAUACCUUGCAAAACUGGCAAGAACCCUUUCUUUGAGUUUUCCAUAUUGAACUUCUUCAGUAUCUUGUCAAGGUAUGUACUUUGCGAAAGACCUAUGAGGCGUCUCGAUCUAUCUCUAUAGAUCUUGAUGCCUAAUAUGUAUGCAGCUUCUCCAAGGUCCUUCAUUGAAAAACUCUUGUUCAAGUAGGCCUUUAUGCUCUUCAACAUCUCUAUAUCAUUCCCCAUCAAUAAUAUGUCAUCCACAUAUAGUACGAGGAAAGCUACAGAGCUCCCACUCACUUUCUUGUACAGACAGGCUUCUCCGUAAACCUGUAUGAACCCAAACGCUUUAAUCACCUCAUUAAAGCGAAUGUUCCAACUCCGAGAUGCUUGCACCAGCCCAUAGAUGGAGCGCUGGAGCUUGCAUACUUUGUUAGCACCUCUAGGAUCGACAAAACCUUCUGGUUGCAUCAUAUACAACUCUUCCUUAAGAUUCCCGUUAAGGAAUGCUGUUUUGACGUCCAUUUGCCAAAUUUCAUAAUCAUAAAAGGCGGCAAUUGCUAACAUGAUUCGGACUGAUUUCAGCUUCGCUACGGGAGAGAAAGUCUCUUCGUAGUCAACUCCUUGAAUUUGUCGAAAACCCUUUGCGACAAGUCGAGCUUUGUAAACGGUUACAUUACCGUUUGCAUCAGUCUUCUUCUUGAAGAUCCAUUUAUUCUCAAUGGCUUGCCGGUCAUCGGGCAAGUCCACCAAAGUCCAUACUUUGUUCUCAUACAUGGAUCCUAUCUCGGAUUUCAUGGCCUCAAGCCAUUUGUUGGAAUCCGGGCCCGCCAUCGCUUCUUCAUAGUUCGAAGGUUCACCGUUGUCUAACAACAUGAUUUCCAUCACAGGGUUGCCGUACCACUCUGGUGCGGAGCGUACCCUUGUGGACCUUCGCGGUUCAGUAGUAACUUGAUCCGAAGCUUCAUGAUCAUCAUCAUUAACUUCCUCUUCAGUUGGUGUAGGCAUCACAGGAACAACUUCUUGCGUUGCGCUACUUUCCUGUUCGAGAGGGGGUGUAAUUACCUCAUCAAGUUCUACCUUCCUCCCACUUACUUCUUUCGAGAGAAACUCUUUCUCUAGAAAGGAUCCGUUCUUGGCAACAAAGGUUUUACCUUCGGAUCUAAGAUAGAAGGUAUACCCAAUAGUUUCCUUAGGGUAUCCUAUGAAUACGCAUUUCUCCGCUUUGGGUUCGAGCUUUUCUGGUUGAAGUUUCUUCACAUAAGCAUCGCAGCCCCAAACUUUAAGAAACGACAACUUAGGUUUCUUGCCAAACCACAGUUCAUACGGUGUCGUCUCAACGGAUUUUGACGGUGCCCUAUUUAAAGUGAAUGCUGCAGUUUCUAAUGCGUAUCCCCAAAAUGAUAGCGGUAAGUCGGUGAGAGACAUCAAAGAUCGUACCAUAUCUAAUAAAGCGCGAUUACGACGUUCAGACACUCCGUUGCGCUGCGGUGUGCCAGGCGGCGUUAGUUGUGAAACGAUUCCACACUUUCUUAGGUGUGUGCCAAAUUCGUGACUCAAAUAUUCUCCUCCACGAUCAGAUCGUAGACAUUUAAUUUUUCUGUCACGUUGAUUCUCAACCUCACUCUGAAAUUCCUUGAACCUUUCAAACGUCUCAGAUUUGUGCUUCAUUAAGUAAAUAUACCCAUACCUACUCAAAUCAUCGGUGAGAGUGAGAACAUAACGAUAACCACCGCGAGCUUCAACGUUCAUUGGACCACACACAUCAGUAUGUAUUAUUUCCAAUAAGUCGGUGGCUCUAUCCAUUAUUCCUGAGAAUGGAGUCUUAGUCAUCUUGCCCAUGAGGCACGGUUCGCAUGUGUCAAAUGAUUCAAAGUCAAGAGACUCUAGCAGUCCAUCAGUAUGGAGCUUCUUCAUGCGCUUAACGCCGAUAUGACCAAGGCGGCAGUGCCACAAGUAUGUGGGACUAUCAUUAUCAACUUUGCAUCUUUUGGUACUCACACUAUGAAUAUGUGUAACAUCACGAUCGAGAUUCAUCAAGAAUAAACCAUUCACCAGCGGAGCAUGACCAUAAAACAUAUCACUCAUAUAAAUAGAACAACCAUUAUUCUCUGACUUAAAUGAGUAGCCGUCUCGCAUUAAGCAAGACCCUGAUACAAUGUUCAUGCUUAAAGCUGGUACUAAAUAACAAUUAUUGAGGUUCAAAACUAAUCCCGACGGUAGAUGUAGAGGUAGCGUGCCGACGGCGAUCACAUCGACUUUUGAACCAUUCCCGACGCGCAUCGUCACCUCGUCCUUGGCCAGUCUCCGCUUAUUCCGCAGUUCCUGCUUUGAGUUGCAAAUGUGAGCAACAGCACCGGUAUCAAAUACCCAGGAGCUACUACGAGCGCUGGUAAGGUACACAUCAAUAACAUGUAUAUCACAUAUACCUUUAAUGUUGCCGGCCUUCUUGUCCGCUAAGUAUUUGGGGCAGUUGCGCUUCCAGUGACCUUUUCCCUUGCAGUAGAAGCACUCAGUCUCAGGCUUGGGUCCGUUCUUUUUCUUCUUCCCAGCAUCUGGUUUACCGGGCGCGGCAACAGCUUUGCCGUCUUUCUUGAAGUUCUUCUUACCCCUGCCUUUCUUGAAACUAGUGGUCUUGUUGACCAUCAACACUUGAUGCUCCUUCUUGAUUUCUACUUCUGCAGACUUGAGCAUCGAGUACAACUCGGGAAUGGUUUUCUCCAUCCCUUGCAUGUUGUAGUUAAGCACAAAGCCUUUGUAGCUUGGUGGGAGAGACUGGAGGAUUCUGUCAAUGAUAGCAUCAUCCGGAAGUUCGACUCCAAGUGAAGUUAGACGACCGUGUAACCCAGACAUUUUGAGUAUGUGCUCACUGACAGAACUGUUCUCCUCCAUCUUACAGCUGAAGAACUUGUCGGAGACUUCAUAUCUCUCGACACGGGCAUGAGCUUGGAAAACUAGCUUCAGCUCUUGGAACAUCUCAUAUGCCCCGUGUUGCUCAAAACGUCUUUGGAGCCCCGUUUCUAAACUGUAUAACAUGCCACACCUAACCAGAGAGUAGUCAUCACUCCGCGCUUGCCAGACGUUUAGAACAUCCUGGGCUGCUGCGGGAGCGGGAGGGUCACCUAGCGGCGCAUUAAGGACAUAAGCCUUUUUAGCUGCUUCAAGGAUGAGCUUCAGGUUGCGAACCCAGUCCGCAUAGUUGCUACCAUCAUCUUUCAGCUUGUUUUUCUCUAGGAAUGCGUUGAAGUUGAGGUUGACGUUGGACAUCUACAAUAUUUAUAAAGACAACUUUUAGACUAAGUUCAUGACAAUUAAGUUCAUUUAAUCAAAUUAAGUAUGAACUCCCACUUAAAUCGACAUCCCUCUAGUCAUCUAAGUGAUACAUGAUCCAUGUUGACUAACCCGUGUCCGAUCAUCACGUGAGACGGACUAGUCACCAUGGUGAGCAACUUCAUCCUGAUCGUAUUCAACCAUACGACUCAUGUUCGACCUUUCGGUCUCUUGUAUUCGAGGUCAUGUCUGUACAUGCUAAGCUCGUCGAGUCAACCUAAGUGUUUUGCGUGUGUAAAUCUGGCUUACACCCGUUGUAUGCGAACGUUAGAAUCUAUCACACCCAAUCAUCACGUGGUGCUUCGAGACAACGAACCUUCGCAACGGUGCACACUUAGGGGAAUACGUUCUCAAAAUUUUUAGGAGGGAUCAUCUUAUUAUGCUACCGUCGUUUUAAGCAAUAAGAUGUAAAACAUGAUAAACAUCACAAUGCAAUCAUAUAGUGACAUGAUAUGGCCAUUAUCAUCUUUGCUCAUUCGAUCUCCAUCUUCAGGCAUCGCAUGAUCAUCAUCGUCACCAGCGUGACACCAUGAUCUCCAUCAUCAUGAUCUCCAUCAUCAUGUCUCCGUGAAGUCGUCACGCCAACUACUACUAUCACUACUACUAUGGCUAACCGUUAGCAAUGAAGUAAAAGUAGCAAGCACAUGGCGUUGCAUCUCAUACAAUAAAUUAAGACAACUCCUAUGGCUCCUGCCGGUUAUCAUACUCAUCGACAUGCAAGUCGUGAAACCUAUUACAAUAACAUGAUCAUCUCAUACAUCAUACAUGCAACAUCACAACUUUGGCCAUAUCACAUCACAUGUCAAACCCUGCAAAAACAAGUUAGACGUCCUCUAAUUGUUGUUGCAAGUUUUACGUGGCUGAUUUGGGUUUCUAGCAAGAACGCCUUCUUACCUACGUGACAGCCACAACGAUGAUAUGCCAAAGCUAUUUACCCUUCAUAAGGACCCUUUUCAUCAAAUCCAAUCCGACUAGAGUAGGAGAGACAGACACCCGCUAGCCACCUUUAUGCACGAUGUGCAUGUUUGUCGGUGGAACCAGUCUCAUGUAAGAGUACGUGUAAGGUCGGUCCGGGCCGCUUCAUCCCACAAUACCGCUGAAAAGAAUAAGACUAGUAACGGCAAGCAAAUUGACAAACCAUCGCCCACAACUUUUGUGUUCUACUCGUGCAUAGAAUCUACGCAUAGAAAACCUGGCUCGGAUACCACUGUUGGGUAACGUAGCAUAAAUUCAAAAUUUUCCUACGCUUAUUCAGAUCUUCCUAUGGAGAGACCAGCAACGAGAGAGGGGUAAGAGCAUCUUCAUACCUUUGAAGAUCGCUAAGCGGAAGCGUUUGCUAGAACGCGGUUGAUGGAGUCGUACUCGUGGUGAUUCCGAUCUAGUGCCGAACAACGGCCCCUCCGCGUUCAACACACGUGCAGCCCGGUGACGUCUCCCGCACCUUGAUCCAGCAAGGAGGAGGGAGAGGUUGGGGAAGAAGACCAGCAACACGACGGCGUGGUGUUGGUGGAGAGACGAGGUCUCCCGGCAAGGCUUCGCCAAAGCGCCGGCAGAGAGGAGGAGGGAGAGAAGCAGGGCUGCGAGAGAGAGAUUAAACCGUGUCUCAAACAGCCCCGAACCUCAUCUAUAUAUAGGGGGAGGGGGAGGGGGCGCAGCCCUUAGGGUUCCCACCCCUAAGGGGUGCGGCAUCCCUUAGAUGGGAGAGGGGUGGCGGCCAGGGCAAGGGGGAGGGGUGGCGCACCCCUCUGGUGGGCCUAAGGCCCACCUGAGUUAGGGUUCCCCCCUCUUUUCCUUUCCCCUGCGCCAUGGGCUGAGUGGGGAGGCGCACCAGACCAACUAGGGGCUGGUUCCCACCCCCACUUAGCCCAUAUUACCUCUUGGGGUCGCAGCCCCCCUUCGGUGGUCCCCCGGGACCACCUCCGGUGGUCCCGGUGGUCCCGGUAAGUUACCGGUGAUGCCCGAAACACUUCCGGUCUCCGAAACCAUCCGUCCUAUAUAUCAAUCUUUACCUCCGGACCAUUCCGGAGCUCCUCGUGACGUCCUGGAUCUCAUCCGGGACUCCGAACAACUUUCGGUAAUCUCAUAUAACAAUUCCCUAUAACCCUAGCGCCAUCGAACCUUAAGUGUGUAGACCCUACGGGUUCGGGAGACAGGCAGACAUGACCGAGACACCUCUCUGGCCAAUAACCAUCAGCGGGGUCUGGAUACCCAUGGUGGCUCCCACUAGCUCCACGAUGAUCUCAUCGGAUGAACCACGAUGUCAAGGAUUCAAUCAAUCCCGUAUACGAUUCCCUUUGUCUGUCGGUAUAGAACUUGCCCGAGAUUCGAUCGUCGGUAUACCUAUACCUUGUUCAAUCUCGUUACUGGUAAGUCUCUUUACUCAUUCCGUAGCACGUCAUCGUGUGACUAACUCCUUAGUCACAUUGAGCUCAUGAUGAUGUUCUACCGAGUGGGCCCAGAGAUACCUCUCCGUCACACGGAGUGACAAAUCCCGAUCUCGAUUCGUGCCAACCCAACAGACACUUUCGGAGGUACCCGUAGUGCACCUUUAUAGUCACCCAGUUACGUUGUGACGUUUGAUACACCCAAAGCACUCCUACAGUAUCCGGGAGUUGCACAAUCUCACGGUCGAAGGAAAAGAUACUUGACAUUAGAAAAGCAUUAACAUACGAACAAUACGAUCUAGUGCUAGGCUUAGGAUUGGGUCUUGUCCACCACAUCAUUCUCCCAAUGAUGUGAUCCCGUUAUCAAUGACAUCCAAUGUCCAUGAUCAGGAAAUCAUGAUCAUCUAUUGACUAACGAGCUAGCUAACUAGAGGCUUGCUAGGGACACAUUGUGAUCUAUUCAUUCACACAUGUAUUAGUGUUUCCUGUUAAUACAAUUAUAGCAUGAACGAUAGACGAUUAUCAUGAACAAGGAAAUAUGAUAAUAACCAUUUUAUUAUUGCCUCUAGGGCAUAUUUCCAACAUGGCUUCCUCCCCUUUUCCCUUCCCCACCUUGAGAUGAGCUUUGUUCCUGAGAAGCUUGGCUUGACAGGGAGGCGGAGGAUGCGGAUGAAGACACCGCCUCCGCAGCCGAGCGGGCCGGCUGGGCGGCAGCUGAUGCUGCCGAGAGGGAGCUCGAGAUAGAGUCCAAGCGCCGGUGGGACACGGCUGCGGGGAAGGCCGCCGUUGGUCAACCUCGCCCCACCCAUAACACAUUUUCUGAUAAUGAGGGUAGUUCUGCUUAGAGGCGGACAAGACCUCGCUAAGGUAGUAGAGAGGGCGCUGCACUGGCAGGGCCUUGCCUUCCUCUUUGCGCUGAACUACCAACACUACGCUGACCACGCGAGUGGUCGCCGCGAUGUAUAUGAGUAUGGGUUCCCUUUCAGAUGGGGCUGCCAAGAUUGGCAGGCUCGAGAUUACCCGCUUGAGGUCGCGGAAGGCUUCGUCCGCCUGGUCAUUCCACUCGAACUUCGUCGUCUUCUUCAUGAGCUGGUAUAGUGGAAGGGCCUUCUGUUGGAAAUAUGCCCUAGAGGCAAUAAUAAUUAGUUAUUAUUAUAUCUCUUUGUUCAUGAUAAUCGUUUAUUAUCCAUGCUAUAAUUGUAUUGAUUGGAAACACAAUACUUGUGUGGAUACAUAGACAAAACACUGUCCCUAGUAAGCCUCUAGUUGACUAGCUCGUUGAUCAAAGAUGGUCAAGGUUUCCUGGUCAUAGGCAAGUGUUGUUACUUGAUAACGGGAUCGCAUCAUUAGGAGAAUCAUGUGAUGGACUAGACCCAAACUAAUAGACGUAGCAUGUUGAUCGUGUCAUUUUGUUGCUACUGUUUUCUGCGUGUCAAGUAUUUGUUCCUAUGACCAUGAGAUCAUAUAACUCACUGACACCGGACGAAUGCUUUGUGUGUAUCAAACGUCGCAACGUAACUGGGUGACUAUAAAGAUGCUCUACAGGUAUCUCCGAAGGUGUUCGUUGAGUUAGUAUGGAUCGAGACUGGGAUUUUUCACUCCGUGUGACGGAGAGGUAUCUCGGGGCCCACUUGGUAAUACAACAUCACACACAAUCCUUGCAAGCAUUGUGACUUAGUGUAAGUUGCGGGAUCUUGUAUUACGGAACGAGUAAAGAGACUUGCCGGUAAACGAGAUUGAAAUAGGUAUGCGGAUACUGACGAACGAAUCUCAGGAAAGUAACAUACCGAAGGACAAAGGGAAUGACAUAUGGGAUUAUAUGAAUCCUUGGCACUGAGGUUCAAAGGAUAAGAUCUUCGUAGAAUAUGUAGGAUCCAAUAUGGGCAUCCAGGUCCCGCUAUUGGAUAUUGACCGAGGAGUCUCUCGGGUCAUGUCUACAUAGUUCUCGAACCCGCAGGGUCUGCACACUUAAGGUUCGACGUUGUUUUAUGCGUAUUUGAGUUAUAUGGUUGGUUACCGAAUGUUGUUCGGAGUCCCGGAUGAGAUCACGGACGUCACGAGGUUUUCCGGAAUGGUUCGGAAACGAAGAUUGAUAUAUAGGAUGACCUCAUUUGGUUACUGGAAGGUUUUCGUGCAUUACCGGAAAAGUUUUUCGGGCUCAUCGGUAGUGUACUGGGAGUGCCGGGAGGGGUGCCGGGGACCAUCAGGAGGGGUGUCACGCCCCAAGGGGUCUCAUGGGCUAUGGGAAGAGAUAAACCAUCCCCUAGUGGGCUGGAAUAAGUUCCCACUAAGGCUCAUAAGGUUUGAGAAGGAAAAAACACAAGGUGGAAAGAGUUUCCAAGUGGGAAGGUGGAAUCCUACUCCAAGUAGGAUUGGAGUAGGACUCCUCCACCUCCAAUUUUGGCCAAACCUUUAGGUUUUGAGGCUUCGAGGCUUCCUCCUCCCCUCCCUCCCUCCUAUAUAUAGUGGGGUUUUAGGGCUGAUUUGAGACAACUUUGCCACAGCAGCCCGACCACAUAUCUCCACGGUUUUACCUCUAUAUCGCGUUUCUGCGGAGCUCGGGCGGAGCCCUGCUGAGAUUAGAUCACCACCAACCUCCGGAGCGCCUUCACACUGCCGGAGAACUCACCUACCUCUCCAUCUCUCUUGCUGGAUCAAGAAGGCCGAGAUCAUCGUCGAGCUGUAUGUGUGCUGAACGAGGAGGUGCCGUCCGUUCGGCACUAGAUCGGAGCGGAUCGUGGGACGGAUCGCGGGAUGGUUCUUGGGACGGUUUGCGGGGCGGAUCGAGGGACGUGAGGACGUUCCACUACAUCAACCGCAUUUCUUAAUGCUUCUGCUGUGCGGUCUACAAGGGUACGUAGAUCGAACAUCCCCUCUUGUAGAUGGACACCACCAUGAUAGGUCUUUGUGCGCGUAGGAAAUUUUUGGUUUCCCUUGCGACGUUCCCCAACAGUGGCAUCAUGAGCUAGGUUCAUGUGUAGAUGUCUUCUCGAGUAGAACACAAAAGUUUUUGUGGGCGGUGAUGUGCGUUUUGCUGCCCUCCUUAGUCUUUUCUUGAUUCCGCGGUAUUGUUGGAUUGAAGCGGCUUGGACCGACAUUACUCGUACGCUUACGAGAGACUGUUUUCUUUGCUACGAGUAACCCCGUUGCUCAAAGAUGACCGGCAAGUGUCGGUUUCUCCAACUUUAGUUGAACCGGAUUUGACCGAGGAGGUCCUCGUAUAUGGUUAAAUAGCAAUUCAUAUAUCUCCGUUGUGGUGUUUGCGCAAGUAAGAUGCGAUCCUACUAGAUACCCAUGGUCACCACGUAAAACAUGCAACAACAAAAUUAGAGGACGUCUAACUUGUUUUUGCAGGGUAUGCUUGUGAUGUCAUAUGGCCAACGAUGUGAUGUGAUAUAUUGGAUGUAUGAGAUGAUCAUGUUGUAAUAGAUAAUAUCGACUUGCACGUCGAUGGUACGGCAACCGGCAGGAGCCAUAGGGUUGUCUUUAAACUAACGUUUGUGCUUGCAGAUGCGUUUACUAUUUUGCUAGGAUGUAGCUUUAGUAGUAAUAGCAUGAGUAGCACGACAACCCCGAUGGCGACACGUUGAUGGAGAUCAUGAUGAUGGAGCUCAUGGUGUGACGCUGGUGACAAGAAGAUCGUGCCGGUGCUUCGGUGAUGGAGAUCAAGAAGCGCGUGAUGAUGGACAUAUCAUGUCACUUAUGAAUUGCAUGUGAUGUUAAUCCUUUAUGCACCUUAUCUUGCCUAGAACGACGGUAGCAUUAUGAGGUGAUCUCUCACUAAAAUUUCAAGACGAAAUUGUGUUCUCCCCGACCGUGCACCGUUGCGACAGUUCUUCGUUUUGAGACACCACGUGAUGAUCGGGUGUGAUAGACUCAACGUUCACAUACAACGGGUGCAAAACAGUUGCACACGCGGAACACUCGGGUUAAGCUUGACGAGCCUAGCAUGUGCAGACAUGGCCUCGGAACACAUGAGACUGAAAGGUCGAGCAUGAAUCGUAUAGUUGAUAUGAUUAGCAUGGAGAUGCUUACCACUAAAACUAUUCUCGACUCACGUGAUGAUCGGACUUGAGAUAGUGGAUUUGGAUCAUGUACCACUCAAAUGACUAGAGAGAUGUACUUUUUGAGUGGGAGUUCUUAAAUAAUAUGAUUAAUUGAACUAAUUGUCAUGAACAUAGUCUAAUGGUCUUUGCGGAUUACGAUGUAGCUUGCGCUAUAGCUCUACUAUUUUUAAUAUGUUCCUAGAGAAAAUUUAGUUGAAAGUUGAUAGUAGCAAACUUUGCGGACUGAGUCUGUAAAACUAAGGAUUGUCCUCGUUGCUGCGCGGAAGGCUUAUGUCGUUAAUGCACCACUCAGUGUGCUGUACCUCGAGCGUCGUCUAUGGAUGUUGUGAACAUCCGACAUACACGUUUCUGAUGACUACGCGAUAGUUCGGUGCAAAAUACUUAAUGGCUUAGAAGCGUGGUGCCAAAGACGUUUUGAAACGUCACGGAACAUGAGUGAUGUUCUAAAGAGAUGAAAUUGUGAUUUCAUGCUUGUGCCCUUGUUAAGAGGUAUGAGACCUCCGACAAGAUUCUUUGUCCAUGAAGUAAAGGAGAAAAACUCAAUCGUUGAGCGUGUGCUCAGAUUGUCUGAGUACGACAAUCACUUGAAUCAAGUGGGAGUUAAUCUUCCAGAUGAGAUAGUGAUGGUUCUCCAAAGUCACUGCCACCAAGCUGUGAGAGCUUCGUGAUGAACUAUAACAUAUCAAGGAUAGAUACAAUGAUCCUUGAGAGAUUCGUGAUGUAUGACACUGCGAAAGUAGAAAUCAAGAAGGAGCAUCAAUGGUUGAUGGUUAGUAAAACCAUAAAGUUUCAUGAAAGGCAAGGGCUAGAAGGGAUACUUCAUGAAACAGCAAAACAGUUGCUGCACUAAUGAAGAGACCCAAGUCUAAACCCAAACCCGAGACUAAGUGCUUCUGUUAUGAGGGGAACGGUCACUGAGGCAGAGCUACCCUAGAUGCUUGGUAGAUAAGUAGGCUGGCAAAGUCGAAAGUAGUAUAUUUGAUAUACAUGAUGUUGAUGUGUGCUUUACUAGUACUCCUAGUAGCGCGAGGGUAUUGGAUACCGGUUCAGUUGCUAAGUGAUUGGUAACACGAAAUGAAAGCUACGGAAUAAAUGGAGACUAGCUAAAGGCGAGGUGACGAUACGUGUUGGAAGUGUUUCCAAGGUUGAUAUGAUCAAACAUCGCACGCUCCCUCUAUCAUCGGGAUUGGUGGUGAAACCAAAAUAAUUGUUAUUUGGUGUUUGCAUUGAGCAUGAACAUGAUUGGAUCGUGUUUGUUGCAAUACCAUUAUUCAUUUAAAAGAAUAAUAGUUAUUCUAUUUGCUUGAAUAAUUACUCUCAAUGGUUUAUUGAAUCUCGAUCGUAGUGUUACACAUGUUCAUAAUAUUAGUGCCAAAAGAUAAAAAGUAAUAAUGAUAGUACCACUCUCUUGUGGCACUGCCACUUCAGUCAUGUUGGUGUAAAAUGCAUGAAGAAGCUCCAUGCUGAUGGAUCGUUUGGACUCACUUGAUUUUGAAUCACUUGAGACAUGCAAAACAUGCCACAUGAAACAAGUAGAGUAACUUGUUGGGAGUAAUGCAUUUUUGAUGUGUGCAGUCCAAUAAGUGCUAAGGCACGAAGUGGAUAUCAUUAUGUUCUUACUUCACUGACGAUUUGAGUAGAUACAGGAGUAUUUACUUGAUGAAUCACAAGUCUGAAAUGUUGAAAAGUUCAAAGCUAUUUUAGAGUGAAGAUCGUCGUGACAAGAGGAUAAACAGUCUACGAUAUGAUCAUAGAGAUGAAUAUCUGAGUUACGAGUUUUGGUACGCAGUUAAGACAAUGUGGAAAUUGUUUCGCAGUUCAUGCCACCUAGAACACCAUAGUGUGAUGAUGUGUCUGAACGUCUUAGCCACACCCUAUUUGAUAUGGUGCAUACUAUGAUGUCUCUUAUCGAAUUACCACUAUCGUUUAUGGGUUAUGCAUUAGAGACAACCGCAUUCACUUUAAUUAGGGCACCGCGUAUUUCCGUUGAGAUGACACAGUAUAGACUAAGGUUUAGAGAAAUCUAAGCUGUCAUUUCUUGAAAGUUUGGAGCUGCGAUGCUUAUGUGAAAAAGUUUCAGUCUGAUAAGCUCGAACCCAAAGCGGAUAAAUGCAUCUUCAUAAGAUAUCCAAAACAGUUGGAUACAUCUCCGAUCUCAGAUCCGGAAGCAAAGUGUUUGUUUCUAGAAACAGGUUCUUUCUUGAGGAAAGGUUUCUCUCGAAAUAAUUGUGUGGGAGGGUGAUAGAACUUGAUGAGGUUAUUGAACCAUCACUUCGACUAGUGUGUAGCAGGGCACAGGAAGUUGUUCCUGUGGCGCCUACACCAAUUGAAGUGGAAGCUGAUGAUGGUGAUCAUUGAGCUUCGGAUCAAGUUACUACAAAACUCGUAGGUCGACAAGGUCGCGUACUACUACAGAGUGGUAUGGUAACCCUGUCUUGGAGGUCAUGUUGUUGAACAAUAAUGAACCUACGAGCUGUGGAGAAGCGAUGGUGGGCCCGGAUUCCGACAAAUGGCUGGAGGCCAUGAAAUCCGAGAGAGGAUCCAUGUAUGAAAACAAAGUGUAGACUUUGGAAGAACUACUUGAUGGUCGUAGGACUAUUGAGUAAAGAUGGAUCUUUAAAAGGAAGACAGACAACGAUGGUGAUAAGUCACUAUUAAGAAAAGCUCGACUUGUCGCAAAGAUGUUUCCGACAUGAUCAAACAGUUGACUAUGGUGAGACUUUCUCACUCGUAGCGAUGCUAAAAGUCUGUUAGAAUUAUGUUAGUAGUUGUUGCAUUAUUUUUGAAAUAUUGCACAUAGGAUGUCUAAACAUUGUUUCCUCGACGGUUUCCUUGAGCAAACAUUGUAUGUGAUACAACCAGAAGGUUUUGUCGAUCCUAAAGAUACUAGCAAGUAUGCAAGCUCCAGUGAUCCUUCAAUGGACUGGUGCAAGCAUCUCGGAGUUGGAAUAUACACUUUGAUGAGAUGAUCAAAGAUUUUGGGUUUGUACAAGGUUUAUGAGAAACUUGUAUUUCCAAAGAAGUGAGUGGGAGCACUAUAGUAUUUCUGAUGAGUAUAUGUGGUUGACAGAUUGUGGAUCAGAAGUAAUGUAGAAUUUCUGUAAAGCAUACAAGGUUGUUUGAAAGGAGUUUUCAAAGGAAUACCUGGAUUGAGCUACUUUAACGUUGAGCAUCAAAAGAUCUAUGGAGAUAGAUAGAAAGCGCUUAAUGGAAGUUUCAACAAGAUGCAUGCCUUGACAAGUUUUUGAAGGAGUUCAAAAUAGAUCAGCAAAGAAGGAGUUCUUGGUUGCGUUGUAAGGUGUGAAUUUGAGUAAGACUCAAAACCCGAUCACGACAGAAUAAAUAGAAUAGACGAAGGUCGUCUUCUAUGCCUUAGCCGUAGACUCUAAAGUAUGCCAUGCUGAGUACCGCACCUGAUGUGUGCCUUGCAGCAAGUCUGUUAAGAGGUACACAGAGUGAUCCAUGAUUGAAUCACUGAUCAGCGGUCAAAGUUAUCCUUAGUAACUAAAUAGACUAAGGAAUUUUUCUCGAUUAUGGAGGUGGUUAAAGAGUUCGUCGUAAAGGGUUACGUCAAUGCAAGCUUUGACACUAAUCCGAAUAACUAUGAGUAGUGAAACGGAUUCGUAUAGUAGAGUAGAUAUUUGGAGUAUUUCCGAAUAGCACAUAGUAGCAGCAUCUAUAAGAUGACAUAAAGAUUUGUAAAGAACAUACAAACCUGAAGGUUUCAGAACCGUUGACUAAAACCUCUCUCACGAGCAAGACGUGAUCAGACCCCAGAACUAUAUGGGUGUUGGAUUCGUUGAAAUCGCAUGGUGAUGUGAACUAGAUUAUUGACUUUAGUGCAAGUGGGAGACUGUUGGAAAUAUUCCCUAGAGGCAAUAAUAAUUAGUUAUUAUUAUAUUUCUUUGUUCAUGAUAAUCGUUUAUUAUCCAUGCUAUAAUUGUAUUGAAUGAAGACUUAUAUACAUGUGUGGAUACAUAGACAAAACACUCUCCCUAGCAAGCCUCUAGUUGGCUAGCCAGUUAAUCAAAGACAAUCAGGGUCUUCUGAUUAUGAACAAGGUGUUGUUGCUUGAUAACUGGAUCACAUCAUUAGGAGAAUCGCGUGAUGGACUAGGCCCAAACUAAUAGACAUAGCAUGUUGAUCGUGUCAUUUUGUUGCUACUGUUUUCUGCGUGUCAAGUAUUUGUUCCUAUGACCAUGAGAUCAUAUAACUCACUGACACGGGAGGAAUGCUUUGUGUGUAUCAAACGUUGCAACGUAACUGGGUGACUAUAAAGAUGCUCUACAGGUAUCUCCGAAGGUGUUCGUUGAGUUAGUAUGGAUCGAGACUGGGAUUUGUCACUCCGUGUGACGGAGAGGUAUCUCGGGGCCCACUCGGUAAUACAACAUCACACACAAGCCUUGCAAGCAAUGUGACUUAGUGUAAGUUGCGGGAUCUUGUAUUACGGAACGAGUAAAGAGACUUGCCGGUAAACGAGAUUGAAAUAGGUAUGCGGAUAGUGACGAUCGAAUCUCAGGCAAGUAACAUACCGAAGGACAAAGGGAAUGACAUACGGGAUUAUAUGAAUCCUUGGCACUAAGGUUCAAAGGAUAAGAUCUUCGUAGAAUAUGUAGGAUCCAAUAUGGGCAUCCAGGUCCCGCUAUUGGAUAUUGACCGAGGAGUCUCUCGGGUCAUGUCUACAUAGUUCUCGAAUCCGCGGGUAUGCACACUUAAGGUUCGAUGUUGUUUUAUGCGUAUUUGAGUUAUAUGGUUGGUUACCGAAUGUUGUUCGGAGUCCCGGAUGAGAUCACAGACAUCACGAGGGUUUCCGGAAUGGUCCGGAAAUGAAGAUUGAUAUAUAGGAUGACCUCAUUUGGUUACCGGAAGGUUUUCGUGCAUUACCGGAAAAGUUUUGGGCUCAUCGGUAGUGUACUGGGAGUGCCGGGAGGGGUGCCGGGGACCAUCAGGAGGGGUGUCACGCCCCAAUGGGUCUCAUGGGCUAUGGGGAGAGAUAAACCAUCCCCUAGUGGGCUGGAAUAAGUUCCCACUAAGGCCCAUAAGGUUUGAGAAGGAAAAAACACAAGGUGGAAAGAGUUUCCAAGUGGGAAGGUGGAAUCCUACUCCAAGUAGGAUUGGAGUAGGACUCCUCCACCCCCUAUUUCGGCCAAACCUUUAGGUUUUGAGGCUGCCUCCUCCCCUCCCUCCCUCCUAUAUAUAGUGGGGUUUUAGGGCUGAUUUGAGACAACUUUGCCACGGCAGCCCGACCACAUAUCUCCACGGUUUUACCUCUAGAUCGCGUUUCUGCGGAGCUCGGGCGGAGCCCUGCUGAGAUUAGAUCACCACCAACCUCCGGAGUGCCUUCACGCUGCCGGAGAACUCAUCUACCUCUCCGUCUCUCUUGCUGGAUCAAGAAGGCUGAGAUCAUCGUCGAGCUGUAUGUGUGCUGAACGCGGAGGUGCCGUCCGUUCGGCACUAGAUCGGAGCGGAUCGUGGGACGGAUCGCGGGACGGUUCGCGGGGCGGAUCGAGGGACGUGAGGAUGUUCCACUACAUCAACCGCGUUUCUUAACGCUUCUACUGUGCGGUCUACAAGGGUACGUAGAUCGAACAUCCCCUCUCGUAGAUGGACAUCACCAUGAUAGGUCUUCGUGCGCGUAGGAAAAUUUUUGUUUCCCUUGCGACGUUCCCCAACACCUUCUCUCCAAGCCGGCUCAGGGAUGCCAAGCAGUCGGCGAACUUCUGGACGUCGAGGAUCCGAGCCGGCCACACCAUCCGCUCGAUGGUGCUGAUCUUCUCAGGGUUCGCUUCGAUGCCUCGGGCGGAUACGAAGAACCCCAAGAGUUUGCCGCCUGGGACCCCGAAGACGCACUUCUCAAGGUUAAGCCGGAUCUUGUAUUCACGUAGAUUGGCGAAUGUCUCCCGCAGGUCAUCGAGGAGGCUGAACUCCUGCUUCGUCUUGACGACGAUGUCAUCCACAUAGUCGUGGAUGUUUCUGCCAAUCUGUGGCAGUAGGCACUGCUUGAUGCAGCGUUGGAAUGUUGCACCUGCGUUCUUCAGACCGAACGUCAUGGUGGUGUAGCAGUAGGCCUCGAAGGGCGUGAUGAAGGAGGUCUUCAGGCGAUCAGCUGGAUCCAGCUUGAUUUGAUGGUAGCCUGAAUAAGCAUCCAGAAACGACAGCAGUUCACAGCCUGCAGUGGAGUCGAUCACUUGAUUUAUCCUAGGCAACACGAAAGGGUCUUUCGGACAGGCCUUAUUCAGGCUAGUGUAGUCGAUACACAUUCGCCAUGUGUUGUUCUUCUUCAGCACCAGGACUGGGUUCGCCAGCCAGUCCGGGUGGAAAACCUCCAUGAUGAAGCCGGCUGCAAGGAGCCGGGUGAUCUCUUCUCCGAUUGUGCACCGCUUCCCCUCGGCGAAGCGGCGCAAAGGUUGUUUCACCGGCUUUGCAUCCGGUCGCACGUGAAGUUUGUGCUCGGCGUACUUCCUCGGAACACCCGGCAUGUCCUUGGGGGACCAUGCAAAGAUGUCCCGAUUCUCACGGAGGAAGUCGACGAGCUCGCCUUCCUAUUUGGGGCUGAGGCCAGCUCCGAUGGUGAUGCACUGCUUCGGGUUGGCAGGGUCGAGUGGACCUGCUUGGUCUCUUUAGCCCGCUUGAAAGAUCCCUCACCGGCCGAUUGGGAUGGAGGAGAACGAAUCGCCGGCUGCUCGGUAGCCUGGGCCACGAGCCGGUCGAUCUGCCGCUUCUCCUCAGCAAUCACCAAGGCGCCGGCGAGGCAGCUGCUAUCCUGGGCACACUCAAGCGACUUCUUGUAGUCGCUAACAACAGUGAUGAUGCCCUUGGUUCCCAGCAUCUUCAUUUUCAGGUAGGUGUAGUGCGGAAUAGCCAUGAACUUGGCCAGAGCCGGUCUUCCCAGCAGCAUGUGAUACGGGCUACUGAGGUCCAUUACCACGAACCAUAUGGACUCUCGGCGGAAGUGGGCGUUGUCGCCGAAGAGGACGUCCAGCUGGAUCUUGCCGAUGGGCGAGCAUGACUGCCCAGGCACGAUGCCAUGGAAGACAGUGCUGGUUGGCAGGACGUCCGUCUCCUUGAGCCCAAGCUUGCGGAGAGUGUCGAGGUAGAGGACGUUGAUGCUGCUGCCGCCAUCGACCAGCACCCGGGAGAAUCGGCAGGUGAGCCUUUUGGAGGCAAAGGUGGGGUCGAGGACGAGUGCGUAUGAACCCGGGUUGGGCAUCACCGCAGGAUGGUCCACCCGGCUCCAUGUGAUUGGUUUGUCAGACCAAUGCAUGUACUGGGGAACCGGGGGGACAGUGGCGUUUACCUCGCGCCGUCUCUGGCGCAGGCUGUAUUUGUUGUCGCCUUCGCUGGUGAAGACGACGAACGCUCCGUCUUGGUGAGGAUAGUCGUCAGGGUGAGGACCGUCAUCGUGAGGCGGUGGCGGCGGAAGCGGAGCGCGAUUGGGAGCCUUUGCACGGGGUGCCGCCUGCGCACCCGGAGGAGCCGGCAGGCCCUCUCCUUGCGACAGCCGGCGUGCGACGCUGCACUGUCGAAGGGUAUGGGUAGACGGCGUCGCCCCAGAAUGUAUCUUGCACGGGGCGUCGAGCAGCUGCUCGAGAGACUGCUUGGGCAGCCAGUUGGGGUUGCCCUGAUUGCGACACUUUCGUGGAGGGCCGGCUUGAGAAGCCGAUGCCUCGCCCUCCACAUUGGCCACCAACUUGUUGUUGGAGCGGGGAUCCCCCUGAUCCGCCAUGCGCUUGUAGUUGUUCUGGCUGCGUCGGUUGUCCCCAGCCGGCUUGGGAGUAGCCGGCGCAGGCACAGCCUUGUCCAAGGCGGUCACCUUGAUGCGCAUUGCGGAGUCGGCCGUGGCGUACUUGUCCGCCUUGGCCAUGAUCACCGCCAAAGAGGUGGGCUCGGCGCACAUGAGCUUGUGCUUGAGGAGGGUGCCGUCUCGGCAUCCGUUGAGGAAGUACUGGAUGGCUUGUACCUCAUGCACCCCCUCGCAGGAGUUGCGGAGCUCGGUCCACUAGGUGACGUAGUCGCGAAGGGGUUCGUCGGCCUUCUGGACGCACAUGGCCAGCUCGUGGGACCGACCAGGGCGCUUGUAUGUGCCAGUGAAGUUGCGGACGAACGGCUUUUCGAAGUCCACCCAGGAGUUGACGCUGCCGGCCGGGAGGCUGUUAAGCCAAGUCCGGGCCGAGCCGGCCAGCAUGAGUGGCACGUAGCGAACCGCUACGCGCUUGUUGCCGUGGCGAUGCCUACGGUUGUGGUGUAGUCGAUCAGCUAGUCUUCUGGCUUGGCCGUGCCGUUGUAUUUCGGCGUAUCCCGCAGCAAGGUCAAACCUCGGGGGAACAGCUCCCCUCGGAUCUGGGGGCCGAAGCAUGCCGGACCGACGGGUCCGUCUUCCUCCAGGAGGGCCAGGGCGAUGAUACGCCGGCGAGCGUCCCGCUCAUCUUGGGUGACGGGGGCGCCAGCCCCGGUGGCGAGAGGGGAGGCGCCUCGGGAGCCGGAGGCGUGAGUCCUUCGCGGGGGAAGAUCCCCGUACCCCGAAUCGCCAUCGUCGCCUCCGUGACGCAAGCCCGAAGUGUGCUCGCUCUGGCGCUGAGAGCACCGGUCUUGGCUUCCCUCGCCCCUCCAGCCGGAAGGGCGAUGCGAGGAAGAUCCUUCGGCGUGGUGCUGGCCGCUAGGGUUGCGGCGAGACCUCGAGUUUGGCCCCGGCGACUCCGAUUGAGCCUGACCAGGGUCAAUCCGAGCGUGUUGCUGGUUGGCAGCGUCAAGGAGAUCCUUGACACGCUUCUCGUGGAAGGCGCGCUCCUCGCCUUCCUGGCUUGUCAUCUCCUCCAUGGCUGCCUGCGCUGCUCGCAUGUUGGCCGCAGGAGUCUCGUAGGUGGGCAGAUCACCGCCUAGAACUUCGGCGAUGAACCGGCGGCGGCUGCGGACCGAUCCAAGCCGACUAGGGGGCUCGGAAAUCGGAGUGAGACCAUAUGCGGAGUUAUACUCGCGAUGCGUAGCCUCCAACCGACGUUUCGUCGAGGCCACGGCGAUGUCCUCCUCCAAGAUACGCUUGCGAGCCUCCUCCAGCGAGGCCCGAGCGUCUGCAGGGUCGGCGGAAGCGGUGACCGGUGUCUUCAGGCCGGCGAUGGCGUCCCGAAGAGUAUCAGCGGUGGCCGCAGCGGGCUCGCCGACGCCUGUGGAGGCCUUGCCGGGAGCCAUGCUGGUGCCAGCACCAAUAACCAUCACCUCCACGGUGUUGGAGACGGCAGCAACAUGGUAUGGGGUGAAGAACCCUACCAACGGUGGAGGGCCGUCAAAGAUGAGAAAGUUACUGGGGUAAACGUCGUGGGCAGGCAUCUCAGCGAUAGAGAGCUUGCUGAAGCUGGCGCAGAGCGCCUCAACGUCGUAGUCCUCGCCGAUGUAGCGCGGGCCGUCGUCGAGACGAAGGUCGCUGAAGAGGACGCUGAGGUUCUACAUGGCGGCGACGACGAUGCUAGGAAGCGCCUCGUCAUCAAAAUCUUCGUCCGAAUCCGCAUGGCGGACAGGGACGUCGAUCAUCAUGGGUGUUGCCUCGUCAAAAGCAGGCUCCACGGGCAUGCAGACAGAGCCGGACGCGAUGCAUCCGGUGGUGUAGGUGCGGGGCGCCGCCCAGCGCGUAAAGCCAGCCGAUGCCACGAUCGGCCCCACGGUUGGCGCCAAAUGUCGGUGAAUACUCACAACAUAUGCCAUAGGUAGGCUAAAGUCGGUGAGAACCGAAGGGACAAAGGUGGGCGCUCGGAACGAGGUUGGUACACGCAUGGGACGCACGAUGUACCCAGGUUCAGGGCUCUCCGUAGAGAUAAUACCCUAAUCCUGCUGGUGUGUUUGAUGUAUGGGAACAGAGUACAAUGUCGCUCAUGGAGCUGUGUUGGGAGGAGGAAGAGGGGAGCAGCCGGCUCGUCUCCACCUCUCUCUCUGUGGGUUGGUAAGUGUGUAGUGUAGAGUGACUCGUGAAUGAUCGGCCUCUCUGCAUGGGGGGCGGCCGGGGGGGUUUUAUAGACGAACCCGCCGGCCUACAAUAUGGAUAAAGGGUACAAGCGUGGGACCCGACUGGCUGCUUCGCCGGCUGGCCAGGGGCCCAUAAGGGUCUUGUCUUGUCGAUGAGGGGCCCGUCGACUGCAUGGUCUCGAUUGCUUGUGGGACCCGCCGGCUGGCCAAUGGGGCUCUCGCGUAAGGCUGACGCUGAGCACGCGUUGUACGUCAAGUGUCGCCCCGCGAGAUUCUUCAUGGGCAGGCAGUACGACCGCCUCCACUGUUCCCCAUGCCGAGUGCAGUAAUGGAGUGGGAGUAUGACAGUCCGACACUAUGCUAGGUGAUGGAUCAGAGCCGGGGUAGGUCAGCGGCGUGGCCGCCGACGCUCGUACCUGCCGGUCGCCCUGAUCCUAUACCUUUGCUGACGCAUAGCUACCUUUAAUCGUGAGGUCUCUUCCUGACCUACGAUCUGAUGUGACUUGUGAUCCUCGGCCGGCUAGCCUGCUUGGUCAGCCGGCUUGAGGGUGGCCGCCUCCUCCUCAGUCCGGCUGGUGGGACCAGGCUGGCUCUGAAGGGGAGGCCGCCUGCAUUCUAGCCGGCACGGGCUGCCUGGCCGGCCAGAAAGGUGGCCGCCUCGUCUUGCAGCCGGCAGGUGAUGCCUAGCCGGUCAGAAGACUUGGGCCUUGGGAAUCUCCAUAUCUUCAUGUCCAUUGGGCCGGAAAUGAAGGAACAGGCUUGAUGAGCCUACCCCGGGGUUAUCCCCCCGACACGGUACUACCUCUCAUGAUCGGUAGUACCGCUCCUAGCAACGGUAGUACCGCUCCGGCAGUACUACCGGUCUCUGCCUCCCUCGUUGACAGUUGCUCUCUGCCCCAGCGGAAGUACCGCUCCCCAUUGGAGUGGUACUACCUCUUAUGGGCGGUAGUACCGCUCCCUGGAGCGGUGGUACUGCUCAUGUGUGGGCUGAGGGGGUAACAGUUGGAUUUUUCCCUUCCUAUAAAAGGGGUUCUUCUUCCAGAUUGAACUCUAUCCUUUGAGCUCGUGUUCUUCUCCCAUUUUUGACCUUCUUUGAGUUUUCUAACUCUCCAUCCCUCCAAUGAUUCUUGAUAGUUCUUGAGGUAAAGGAGAGAGGAGAUCUAGAUCCACAUUUCCACCAAUUACUUUCUCCUCUAUGUGAGGGGAACCCCUUGGAUCUAGAUCUUGGAGUUCUCGUGUUCUUCUUCAUUCUUCCUCUCAUUUUAUUCCAUAGCAUUAGUUGUUGUGGUGGGGUUUGAGAGAUAAGGACUUGGGCACUCUGUGUGCCCUUGCCAUUGCAUUUGGUUCAUAGGUUUGGGUUCUGGUGAUACGUGGAAGUGAAGGUUGAGAAGCUUAUUACUCUUGGGUGCUUGGUACCAUAGAGCUUGUUCUUCUUAAAUUCUUUGGCUUCCUAGAAGCUUGAUGGUGCCUCAGAGCUUAAUCAUUGUGGGUAAAGCUCCAAGAAGCAUUAGGGUCUCCAAUUAGGUUGUGGAGAUCGCCCCGAGCAAUUUGUAUGGGUACCGGUGACUGCCCCCAAGAGUUGUCAUUUCUACGGGUUCGGUGAUCGCCCUCAAGGGUACCUUAGUGGAAUCAUGGAAUCUUGCAUUGUGCGAGGGCGUGGGGAGAUUACGGUGGCCCUAGUGGCUUCUUGGGGAGCAUUGUGCCUCCACACCGCUCCAAACGGAUAUUAGCAUCCACAAGGGUGUGAACUUCGGGAUACAACAUCGUCUCUGCGUGCCUCGAUUAUCUCUUACUCGAGCCCUUUACUUAUGCACUUUACUUUGUGAUAGUCAUAUUGUUUCUUGUUAUAUAUCUUGCUAUCACUUAGUUGUUUAUCUUUCUUAGCUUAAGUUGUUGGUGCACACAGGUGAACCUAGUUGUUUUAGGUUUUUUGCUUGACUAAUUAAACGUUAGUUUUAUUCAGCAUUUGUUCAAUCCCAAACCAUAAUUAUUUUAAAGCGCCUAUUGACACCCCCCUCUAGGCGACAUCCACGUCCUUUCAAUUGGUAACAUAGCUAGGUCUCUCAUUAUUAGGUUUUACCACCUAGAGAGUAAGGAUGUCGACUAGGGGAUUAGGAUUCUCUGACACUCUUAGUUUCAAUGGCAAAAAAUUUGAUGUUUGGGUAGUGCGCAUGCUUAAUCUCUUUAGGGUCAUGGACCAAAAUUUAGAGCGAAUUGUAGAUAUGGGUUCUUAUCCUCCAAAGGAUUCCCAAAUAUAUCUUUAGAGGAUGAGAAAAACUCUUAUCUCAAUUCUUAAGCUUCUAAUGUACUUUUUGAUGCUUUGAGCAAUGUAGUUAUAUUUCAACUCAUGCCAUUCCGGGAUGCUCAUGAGUUGUGGACAAAGCUUCAAGAUAAAUAUGGUGUGUUCAAGAUUUGUAGAGAUGAUUGUUCUCCCUCCACCUCCGGUCGUGUUGUCUUCUCAACUUGAUAUACUUCACCUACAUGUGGAUCGCCACAAGGUAAUGAUAUGGUGAGUAGUGGUGAUCAUUGUAAUGAUGAUAGUGAGCUUAUUGUUGAUGAUCCUUCAUCACUAUCCUAUAGAAAUGCUUCAUUUUUGGACAUGAACACUACAAGCACUCUAAGUGCUUCACAUGCUUGUGUUGAUAGUCCUUGCAUAUCAUGUCGGAAUUGUGUGCCUAAAUCUCAUGAUGAUAUGCAUGCUAUAUCUUGUUCCCAUGAUGAAAAUGUAUCUAUUUCCUCAAGUUGUUGUGCUAAUAAUGUAGAGGAAAUCCAUCACUCCAUGGAACAAGAUGUCGCCUUGAAUGAUGCUUCAAGGGAUCCUACAUCAUCAUCUAUUGUUUCUCACUUGUGCUUUAUGGCUAAGGCUUCAAAGGUAUCUCCUACUUUUAAUCCCAAUAUAUCUCAUGAUGAUGAUGCUGACAAUAAUAAUGAUGAGGAUAAUGAUGAAUAGAGUGAUAAUAUUGCUUCCUUAAAAAUUAAGGGGGAAAUGAUUUUUAAAGCUCUUCAUAAGAAUAAGAUUGCUUGGUCCAACUUCAUGGAAAUCAUGUCUAUUGCCAUUGAGGGCAAGAAUUAUAUUGAGGAGUUGGAAGCUCAUCUCGAGGAGCAUGAGGCCACCAUUGAGGAAAUGGAAGAACAUGAGCAUGAUUACGCUAAUGAGAUCGCAGAGCUAUCUCAAGAUCUUGAAAAUGAACAAGCCACCAAGGAAUCUCUUGAGGAAACCUUUGCUCUAGAAUUAUCUAGAUUAAAUGAAUCCCAUGAUAGAGCUCUUGAGGUGGCCAAUGAUUUUAGAACUAAAAAUGAUAAGCUUGAAGUUUCUCAUGCUAAAUUCUUUGAGGACUAUGAGCACCUUGAAAAUGGCUCAAGGGCUAUUAAGAGUUCGCUCAUCGAACUCACCGAGUCUCAUGCUCAACUUGAAGCUUCUUAUGCAAAAUAGCUUGCGAAGUUGCCAUCUCCUCUUAUUGUUAAUGGUGAUGCUUGUGCUACUAACGCUCUUUCUUGCGAAGCAUCCAUAUUAAAGGAGAAAGUUGAGCUAAGGGCUCAACUUGAGUUGCUAUCUAGCAAUUAUGGAAAUUGGAAGAAAGUCAUGUAAUGCUCACAAGCUCUCAAGAUGAUCUUUGCUUCAUUAUGAAGAAUUAAGCGGUCUUCAUCAUUCAUAUUGUCACAAACCUAGUCAUUUGGAUUAUCAAGUUUCCAUCUUAUAACCAAUGUGCCUCCAUGCAAUAAUUUAUGCUUAAAUUGUUUACAUUAUUAGUUAUUUGCCGCUUUGCAUGUUGUGGUUUUGUACCUUGCAUGUGUGUGUAUAUGUUGUGCUUUGAACUUGCUUAUCUUGGGUAAUCAAGCAUGUGUAUGUUUUUUUGCACAUCAUGUACAUGUGAGUCCUGUGUUGAGCCUUUUUUGCAUCUUGUUUUUAUUUUUGUUGGCUCUUUUGAGAGAUUAAUGGAUUAUCCCAUUUUGGGGGAGUGAUGUGCUUUGCGCACGUCAAAAUCCUAUAAAUGUGUAUACAUGAAGAAUACCACUUAUUAUUGGUAUUUCAAGAUUAUCUAGUAUCUAUGUGGUAUGUCUUACUCAUGAGAAAUUCAAAUUUUAAGUGGUCCACUAAUUAUCUCUUAUUGGUUUUCAUUUGCCACUUGUUAAUAAUGCUGGGUUAUCACAUUAUGGGGGAGUAAUAUGCUAUGUGCAUAUUACGAGCCUAGAAAAUGUGUAUAUUUGAGGUAUUGCCACUUAGUGCUGAUAUUUUAAAUUAUCUUGUUCCUAGGUGGCAUGUUAGCUCUACAAGUGUCAUUUGCUUGUGUUUUAGGAGUAAAUAUGAUGUUGGAUAUAUUUGAAAUCUACCAAUGGGAAUUAUUUCGAAAUACUUCUUGUCCUUUGACAAUUAUUAUUCCCUUCAUGUGGUAGAAAUUGCUAAUCAUCUUUACAAUGGAUUUUGUGUAUCGUUUGUCUUCCCUGCCUUUUGUGGAUCUUUUUAAACAUGUCUAGUGUUUCUAUAGAUAUAGAGAAUGUGAUGAGCACAUCUUGUGGAUUUUGUAUUCAAAUGCAAAUUCUAUAUAAUGCACAUCUCUUGGUGGAGAUGUCCUAUUUUCUUUAGAACCCUCUUUUUAUGCGUUCAUCAUAAAAUUGUUUGAUCCCCAUCAAGUCUGUGUUGGUGGGAGUGAAGUCUUUCUCUUUAUGGUGCUUUGUGACAUAAUGAAAAUUUGUCGAGGGUUUGGUUUGUUUGGAACCUAGAUCUCUUUCGGGAACUUGAUACUUCUUGUUUGUUUUCCUUCAAUUAGUAUCUUGUUUCCUUUUAUUUGGAAUGUUAUAAUGGAUAUCACAUUCAUUGAUGUAUCUUUUAAUUGGUAUCCUUCAAGUGAUAAUUUUUUUUUCGUAUUCUAUUCUCACUUGAUACCUUGUCUUUUGGUAUCUUACCAACUAUGUGUUGGUUUGAUUCUUGAAAGCCUUGAGCAUACUUAUUUACUAUAUGUACCUUCUUGGCAUAUUUUCUUUCUUUGACCCCAUAUAUAGGGGAAACUCCACCAUGUCAUAAAUUAGCUAAAGUGUGCAUGAAAUUCAAUUUCAUAUCCAUAUGCACAUAUUUAUGUGGAGUUUGUCCUAUGUAUUGUUGGUUCUCUAACUCCUUGGUCCCAAUGAGUUUGGGCACCAUUUUGUUUGUGUUGUUAUUCUAGGAACAAUUGGAGAUGCAUUUGAUGCUCAGAUCACUUACAAGGAAGGUGUUGACACCAUGUGCUUAUUGGAGCCAAGUUAGUAUGAUCAACGAACAAUUAUCUACUACAUCAAUCCAAUGGUAUCUCGGUAACAAGUAUCUACCUCAUGCAUACAUUUCUUGCAUUCAACCUUAUGUAGGUUGCAUCAUGGCAUGAAUUUCUUGAUUCGUUCUUGUGGUACUUGUUUCCUUUCUCAAAGCAUCCCAACGAUGAUAUAUUAUUGCUAGUUGUUAUGUCUUUGAUGUCCAUGAGUUGGAAGUUCAUUUAUGUACAAUAAUAAAAUAUUAGGCCAUGCGCUAUGCUUUCAAGCAAAGAUCUUAUUGGUAUAUUUAUGACUUCCUUUUGGAUAUCUUGUUCUUUCCUUCUUGUAAUUAUUUUGUGUGUACAUCCUUCUUUGUGGACAUAUACCAUCAUGAUUGUCUUCUAAAUAGAAUCUUUUACACAUGAGAGAAGUUACAUCUCUAGUGAUAUCGUCGAGCAAACCUAGACUGCGUGAGCUACCUUAUUUGCUUCUCUAUUACAAUGCUCGAACCUAGAAAUAGGAAAAUCACACGUAAAGUUAUCACAGUCAUCAAAAACGUCGUCAUCCUACCGGUGGAAUAUCCUCUGCUCUUGAUGGUGUUGAUAACUGAUGUCCCACAAGCGUAUGGGAUCGCAGCAGGUUUCGAGGGUAGAGUAUUCAACCCAAAUUUAUUGAUUCGCUCACAAGGGGAAGCUAAAGAAUAUUCUCAAGUAUUAGCAGCUGAGUUGUCAAUUCAACCACACCUGAAAGAUUAGUGUCUUCAAGGAAAGUAUCAGUAGCAAGGUAGUAUGAUAGCAACGACACCAGAAAAAGCUUUGACAAUUCCCGACAACGGCGCUAGAAAAAGCCUUGUUGACGAGAUGUUAGCGCCAACAAAGUCUUGCAACAAGUAACAGCGGAGUAGCAAGGAACCGUAGUAGCAGCAGCAGCAAAGUGACAAGUAACAGCAGUAGUGACAGCAGCAGCAAAGUGGCCCAAUCCCUUUGGUAGCAAGGGACAAGCCUAGGCAAAUUAACAUAGCGAGAACCAGUAGUAGAAGACUCGUAGGCAGUGGAUCGGUGAUGGAUGAGUAUGACGGAUGUGAUUCAUCAUGUAACAGCUAUAACACAGAGAGAUAUGUAACUAGCUCCCGUUCAUCAAUCUAAUGUAGGCAUGUAUUCCGUAUGUAGUCAUACGUGCUUAGGGAAAAGAACUUGCAUGACAUCUAUUGUCCAUCCCUCCCGUGGCAGCGGGGUCCUAAUGGAAACUACGGGAUAUUAAGGUUCUCCUUUUAAUAAAGAACCGGACCAACACAUUAACACACGGUGAAUACAUGAACUCCUCAUACUAUGGUCAUCUCCGGGAGUGGUUCCACCUAUUGUCACUCCGGGGUUGCCGGGUCAUAACACAUAGUAGGUGACUACAACUUGCAAGAUAGGAUCUAAAACACACAUAUAUUGGCGACAACAUAAUAGGUUCAGAUCUGAAAUCAUGGCACUCGGGCCCUAGUGACAAGAAUUAAGCAUAGCCAAGUAGUACCAACAUCAAUCUAGAACAUAGUGGAUACUAGGGAUCAAUCUCCGUCAAAAACUAACUCGAUUACAUGAUAGAUCUCAUCCAACUCAUCACCGUACAGCAAGCCUACGAUGAUAUUACUCACGAACGAUGAAGAGCAUCAUGGAAUUGUCGACGGAGAACGGUUGAUGAUGACGAUGGCGACGAUUUCCCCUCUCCGGAGCCCGAAACGGACUCCAGAUCUGCCCUCCAGAUGAAGAACAGGAUGUGGCGGCACCUCUGUAUCGCAAAACGCGAUGAAACCUUCUCUCUGAUUUUUUUUUCCAUGCGAACAGAAGAUAUAGAACUGAGAUUGGGGCGGUGGUGCCACGUGGGCCCCACAAGCCUGCACGGCACGACCAUAGGGGGUGGCCGCGGCCUGUGGGCUUGUGGCCCACUAGCACGCCCCCUCACGUGGAUCUUUGCGCAGGUAUUUUUCUUUUAUUCCAGAAGAAAUCUCUGUAAAUUUUCAAGACGUUCCGAGAACUUUCAUUUCUGCACAAAAACAACACCAUGGCAAUUCUGCUGAAAACAGCGUCAGUCCGGGUUAGUUCCAUUCAAAUCAUGCAAAUUAGAGUCCAAAACAAGGGCAAAAGAGUUCAGAAAAGUAGAUACGACGGAGACGUAUCAAUAACCUCCAGAUUGUUGGAGUUAAUGACAAGACGAUUGUGUACCACCCUUUGCACAAGACAACCCAAAUCUAAGUGUCAAAGCUUCGAUUGUCAAGACAUCUGCACACCACUCUAUCUUCCUAUUCUCACUUGCAAUGAAUUUGUCUUUGUCAUCCUAGUUCCCAAGCGAUAAACUUUAUGAAAAUCCUAGGAGGCUGACUCCAACCCCCUCUUUUAUUGUUGCUCUUGGAGAGGAAGCGAUAAAAAUUUGUUGUAAAUGAGUGAAUCCUCGUAGAAAUCUGAGAGACACUCUGGGUAGUUGCCUCAUGGACAAGUUUAUGUCUUUCCCACCAUAGAUACCAAGUAGUAAUGGCGAUCAUGUGUCGAACGUUGAGAAUCUCCAUAGAAGACAAAUCCUGGUCGAGCAUCAGAAGUAAAUAUUCCAAAACCGCCUCACUUCCACGAUCAACUUCACAAGCUCCCAAGAUAAUUUCGUCCAGACCCAACCUUCUCCAAACCUCUUUGCUCUGUAACAAAGAAAUAACACAUGCUUAAUAUCUUCUGGACCAGAAGAGCAUGCAGGUCAUUAAGGCAAGACUUUUAUAUGUCUUUUGGCAAUCGUAACAUGACAUGGGAGUGUACCAUGAAAUGUACGCCAAAUAAAAGAUUUCACUUUUGUCGGGCACGAGAGCUUCCAUAUCUUACUCUAAAUAGGAUUAAACAUAGUUCUUCCCCAUCUAUUAGUAUGUCGAAGUUUCCUCCAUGUUGAUCAUCCCACUCCUCAAAAUAUGUUGACUGAACUCAGAACAUAUCUUUUUUGUUUAAGUCCAUGCAACAAAAUCCGGCAUAUCAUGUUGGAGGAGAGGGAUGGCAAGGACACAUAGUGCAUCAAUGGUCCAUAAAGUUUGUCUAACCAUACACUCUAGGAGCGAUGACUUCUCUAUUAGCACAAUUUGUGAUCCAAGCAUCAUCCCAAAUAUCAAUAGUCUGACCAUUACCAACUCUACAAAUACAGCCAUGUUUCAGAGAAUUUACGCCCACGAUGAUGCUCUGCCAGGUGAACAAGGAUCAGUAAAUCACCAUAAAAAAUACUUCACUCUCAAAAUAGUAGCACAUAAGGAGUUUGGAUUGUCAAGACGACGUCAAGCCUGUUUUUUCCAUCAUUGGCAAGUUGAAACAGUAAAUUUGUGAAAGCCCAUACCUCCUUGAUUCUUUGGGACACACAUUUUCUAGCAACCCAUCUAAUGCAUUCUCCUAUGGGAGUCCUCGUCUUCCCACCAAAGAUGUAACAUUACAUUAAUAAUCCAUUUGCAAAUCUUUCUAGAAAUUUUAAAGACCGACAUUGCAUAAAUGGGUAUGGCUUGAACAACACACCUGAUUAGAAUUUCCUUCCCUCAAACAGAUAAUAAUCUUUUCUUCCAACCACAAUUUUUUGUAAAAACACAAUCAAUCUUAUACUAGAAACAAUCAAUUUUAUCCAACCCCGCAUUAGCCAGCAAACCUAAGUAUUUGUCACUGGGAGCAUUAGUCAAGACAUCCAGAGUGGUACACAUUUGCUCUUUAACCUUGACACAAGUAUUGGGGCUAAAAAGUGAAAUAGCAUGGUGCCCUCAUGUUUGGUUUUGGCAAUUGAUGACAAUCCAUAGGGACUAACGAUUGAUUUGAGUUAUAAUUAAGGUUUGUUCAUAGGCAUUACUUGAAGAACAUAUGUUGGUUUCAAGGUUAAAAGAAGGAGUUCAUGUGUUGACCAAAGUGGUAUUCAAGAAGUUAUCCAAAGAUUGGUCAUGUGAAGAGCUGAGCCUAUUGCAAGCAUGCCUUGAAGAAGAAGAUUGUGUGAAUAUUCAUGUUUACCUUGAAGACAUCGCUUUUUAUCAGGAGAGAAGAUAAGAUUCAAGUCAAUCAAUACUAAGUACAAAGAGUGGAUUCAAGUUGAUUAACACACAAAGCACGGAAGAUGUACCGAGUGGGAUCAAGUGAUCUCAUUGUAUGGUAAGCAUUGUCCAUUAUGCUUUGUGUACUAACCCAUCAUCUAUGUGAAGUAUCUUUAUGGGGUUAGGUAUGUUUCCAUGGGCUUGCAUCAAAAGGAAGAUUUCAUAUGACCAAUGGAGGAUGACAUCAAGUGGUGAUCGUCAUCAAGGUUGCGGUGUGCAAGUUCAAGUGGAGCAUCACGAAGAUAUCAUGCUUGAAGCUUUCCGUAUAUUCUCAUGAUAAUGGACAUGUGGAUAUGUGCCUAAGGGAGGCUCAACCACAGUGUAGUAUGGGGCAACAAAGUACUAGUCUUUAUCGACCCAUCACAACCAAGAAAUGACGUCCAACUUGAGGAAGUCAAGAUCGUCAUCAUCUAACUCAAGUGGACUAUACACAAGACAAAGGUUUGAGCUUGAAAUGUUUUAUAUUUUACCGGUUUCAUGGUGUUUGUAGGGAGACCAGGUUAUAGGUUUGAAUGUCGUACUAUCAAGGGGGCUCACGAAUGAGUAGCUUGAUCUUAUCAUUCAUAGAGGGCUCAAACCAUUCCAUCCUUGGCAUCAUAUUUAUUGGUUCUUGUUUGUCUUUUAUCUAUGUGAAUUUUGGGGCUUGUGGUUAUCUUCAUGACAAACUCAAGUUCAUCAAAAAUGGAUUUCAUAUGCAUCUUCUAUUAUGUUUUCUAUGUUGGAGUUUUUGCCGGUUCUUCUCUUAUGGUGAUUUUACACUUGCCAUAUUAAUCUUUCUUGUUCUGAAGUUAUACAAUCAUAUUUUGAUAGAUCUUUUCAUUAGCUUUAUACCAUGCUUGAGUUUGUCAAAAUUGGAGUUCAUUUGCAGAAGUUAGGAAUGUUCUAGUUAUGUUGCUAUCUUUUUAGAGGUAGUACCGCUUCCUUAAGUGGUAGUACCGCUUGUACAUAAUUGGUGGUAGUACCACUUCUUUAAGAGGUAGUACCGCUUAAGUAGUACUUCUGGUUUAUACCGUGUCUAGUUCCGCUUGUAUUUAGGCUUCUGUCGCCCCCUCAACACUUAGAGGUAGUACCUCUUUUUUAAGAGGCAGUGGCACUUGUUCAUAAUAAGAGGUAGUACCGCUUAUGCGGUACUUCCAAUGGUUUGUACCACAACUAGUUCUGCUUAUCUUUAGACUUCUAUUUCCCCUCAAUAUUUAGAGGUAGUACUACUCCCUUAAGUGGUAGUACCGCUUAAGCACAUGAAGUACAUAACCGUUAGAUUCAUAGGGUCCUAUUUAAGGGGGUCUUCUUCCCAUUUCCCCAACGUUCUUGAGGAAGUUCCCCCCCACAAUUAUUGACCUCUUAGAGCUUUCUUUGUCUCUAUUCCUCCCAUGAUACUUGCAUAUUUGUGAGGGAAAAUAGAGAGGAGAUCUAGAUCUAUAUUUCCACUGAUGGCUCGAGAAGUUAUGAUGUUUUUCAUAGUGCUUUCCAUUUGGUUUCAUCGGAUUUUCAUUGUUCUCUCAAUAUUUCUAAACUAAUCCAACAAAAGAGAGGAAAAUCUAAUUUGUCCUUUGGAUGGCAGGAAAUAUAUUAUUUGGAAGGAAACCAAAGAAGACUGCUGCAAAUAAAGCCAAAUAGAGAAAAUGUCUUGAAGAAAGCAUUGUGAGAGCAACUCUAGCAAACCCCGCAUCCCGCCCCAACCCGGAAAAUAACCGCCAAAAUGCGGGUCGGGGCGGAAAAACCUGCCCGAUCAGACCUCGCAUCCCGCCCCGGCCCGCAAAUAUUUUUGCGGGGCGCGACAAAAUCUCGGCCCCAACCCGCGUAUUUGCGGGUUUCCCCCUCGCCGUUGUGGUACCUGCAUAUAAGCGGAAGUGGUUGGUGGGAGGGACAUUUUAGCCCGUGCUGGGUCUGAAAAAUCAUAUUCCACGAAUAUGCUUCUUUACGGGUCCGUUAUGCAGGGUCUGCAUCCGCGGCCGUGCGCGCCGGCCCGCAAAGAUGUUUUUCCGUGAACUGCAAACACGUUUUGCGGCCACACGGAUGCGGGGUCUGCUAGAGUUGCUCUCAACAUGCACAUCUGAGUGAAAGACGACCUUACAUACGAAUAUACGCGCUAAUUUGAGCGGUCAUUUGUAGUGCCUGAAGCCCCUCCUCAUCUAUACAAGAAACUUUCAUGAAGAGACCGCGGGGAGAGGAGAACCCUAACCGCUGCCAUACCAUUCAGAACAAGAGAAGAGAGGAUCUCAAGAACUUGCAAGUAUCAUCAUAGUUUUUAGUCCUUCCUCUCCAUCAUCAUCAUAACCCACUUCACUAUUGUAAGAGGGUUUGGAACUUGUAAUCUCUACUCCAUCUCAUCUGAGAUAAAGACUAUUCGAGCACCAUUUCAUCUCAUUGUGGAUCCCCUCAAUAUUAUCGAUAUGGUUUUCAUGGUUUUUCUCUCUCUUGUGAUUGAUUCCCCUCUUAUGAUGUGUGGGUAAUUCUCCUAGGUGUGGGAGAUGUAGGUAAGUGGUAAGAUUGAUAUAUGCCUAUCCUAUAUGUCAUCAUUUGAAUUCGUAAUAGUAUGGUCUAUUUAGUAUGAUGUUAUGUUGUGGUGAGCCCUCUGUGUAUUGUCCAAUUUAAGGGCCCACACAACAUGACCUCAAGACCUACACAGGUAACACAUAUUGUUUAGGAACUCUAUGACCUAUGACGUGACAGGUGGAAAUACCUAUGAGAACGAAAGAUAAUAUGAGAUAACGAUGAUCCAUUGAAUUUAAUGCUUGGGUCCGGUCUUAUGACCUCAGUUGUGGAAACAGAGAAGCAGGACUAUAGAAUGAAACGUAACCCCGUGUGGAGGAGUUUUAUGACUCUAGGGAGGACCGCCUACAGAAAGUUCAUACCAACACUACAAGGUAACCGGUAUUACCUUCGCAUUGGCACAAUUCAUAUAUUCUUACCAUGAACUGAAAUCUCUCCGCACCUAAUCUAUUCACUGCAGGAAACACCAUUUACAUUUUUAGUUCUUGUUAUUUAUUCUCAUUAGUUACUUAGUAGACACAUUUAAAUCCUCUUUCUACUAUCAUAUUUAGUUUGUCGUUUACCCAGGACUAUAAUAGUAUUUGCGAAACCUCAGGCAGUACUUCACAACAGAACUGUAUACCUUGUGUGUGUGACAGAAACGCCUCUUUAAUACUCUCCUCCGCUAUUUGUUGGGACGAUUACUCAUAAGUGCUAAACUACCCUGUUUGGUCAGCAGGUAACAAGGCAUUUCCUGCAACCGUUGGUGGGGAGCUAAACGCGGAGUAUUUGUUUCAUAACUAAUUUUGUAGGUAUUGUUAUUGUAGGUGCUUCCGUAACAAACAGGGUGUCUACUUGUUCAAGGAGACGUAUUUACCAAAUUACAUUACUUGUUUUCCUCAGGAACAACAAGCUUCAUUAAUAGAAAAAUACAAAAAUAGUGAGAAGUUGAGCUUAACACUUUGUUCGCAGAAAUGACAAUUACUAAGAAGCCCAAGAAGACUAGUAGGGAUCAUUGUUCUCUAGUACUUGUUUCUAGAUCACCUAUAGUUUAUCCUAGUAAUUUUGUUCACAAGUAUUCGUUUGAAUGUGAUCUUAUCUAGGGGUAAGAAAUCAUGCUUUUGCAGGAGCUGAAGAGGAAGAUCCUCAAGCAUAUUUGAUGAUGUUUGACACAUUAUGUGGGACAUUUAAGUUAAGAAGACAUUUCACGAGAAUUUGUGCUAUUGAGACUCUUCGGGUUUUCUCUGAAGGAUGAUGCUCAGAAGUGGUAUAAUCGAUUGCCUCAAGAUAGUAUAACUAGCUGGAUUAUGUGUGCUAAAACGUUUAUGGCUAAAUUCCUUCCAAGCUCGAAUAUUACUAAACUCAUAAGGAACCUCACUUCAUUUGUCCAAGAACACGGUGAAAUACUAUAUUAAGCUGGGGAGAGACACUCCAAAAUUUUAACAUUAUGUCCUAACCAUGGUUGUACUAAAUAUGUUAUACUACAUAUGUUUAUCAUGGAAUUAAUGAUGAAUCAAAAUACAUUCUUGAUCUAAGUGCACGUGGACAAUUUAUGUCAUUGGCCCUAGAAGAAGGGAGAGAACAUAUUGAGAAGAUUGUAUCUGCACACAAGCAAUGGAAUAUUGAAGAACCUAUCAAACCAACUGGAAACCUAUACCACAUUGAAGAUAUGGAAGAAUUCAAGAAGGUAACUCAAGAGAAAGGUAGGCAUAGUGAACAAGUUAGCAAUGAGAAAGCGGAUAUAUUAGGUAUUUAUUGUCGGGAAUAUGGGCUUCAAGAUACGAUGAACAAAUUCAAAUUCCAUCAAGAUAACUUCAAUAGAGAUUUUCAAAGAUGUAUCUAUCAUAAUGAAAAAGUAAUAGCAUAUCUCUCACGAGAGGUAGAUGAGUCAAGCCAAGCGGUAAACAAUCUUGAUAAACACUCUCGUAUGAUAGAGACUCAAUGUACUCAAAUCUCUAAGACCAAAGCUUUGAUUCUUGCUCAAUUGGAUACUCCUGUUUCUACUAAAGAAAUAUCUACUCGUAGCAGUAAAAGAACACAAGCCCCCAUCGUCCCAAAGUAGUAUGAAAGAGAGCAAGAACAAAGAAGAAUAGAAAUCCAAAGCCAAACCCAAGAGAAUAGAGAAUUGCACUUUGGCGAAGAAGAACCGGAAGACCAUGUCCCUCAAGAUACUCAUGGAAAUGAAGCAAAAGUUAAAAAAUAAGUUGAUUUUGAUGCAGAAAUAAUUGAUGGCAAUAACAACAAAUAAGAUACUCCAAAUGCAGAGGAAGAGCAAAAACCUAGGGUGGAAAGAAAGAAGCAACCACCUGAUCCAACUAAGAAGGUUAGAGCUGAAGCAUGGAAAAACAAAGAGAAAGGUAGGGAUAAGGAGAAAGAUAAAGGUAAAAUUAAGAAAACUCUUCCUUAUCCCAAGGUUGUAAUACCACCUUCAAAUGAUGCAUUAUACUCUUCUUUUCUGCAAGCUAUAGCUGACCUUAAAAUGUCAAUGCAUGUGACUGAUAUGUUAAAGGUUCCUACUUUUGCUAAGUUCAUGCAUGAUGUUUGGAAUAAUAAAAGGAGUACGACUCUCAAGGAACAUAUUACCAUGAUAAUGGAGUAUCUGUUUCAUAACAAGAUAACAUAGAAAUUGGGAGACCUAGGUAUACCCAUAAUAUCUUACUCUAUUGGUAAUCUUGAUAUAAAUAUUGCUCUUUUUGAUGUUGGAGCAGGUGUACGUGUGAUACCUCUAACUCUUUAUCACAAGGUGAAUUUAACAGAAUGUAUACCCAUAGGUAUAACUCUACAAAUGGCACACAAGUGAACAAGGAAGCCAGUGGGAAUGGCUGAGAAUGUUCCAUUGAGAUUGGACGGGCAUGCUAUACCAACUGAUUUUAUUAUUCUUGACAUGCCCGAAGAUGAAAAUAAUCAAUUAUCCUUGGUAAACCAUUUUUGAAUUAUGCAGGUGCAUCAUUAGAUUUCUCAGAAGGGAAAGUAACCUUUAGAGUCUAUGAAGAAGAUGUUGGGGAACGUUGCAUGGGAAACAAAAAAAUCUACGCACACGAAGAGCUAUCAUGGUGAUGAUCAUCUAUGAGAGGGAAAUCGGAUCCACAUACCCUUGUAGAUCCUNNNNNNNNNNNNNNNNNNNNNNNNNNNNNNNNNNNNNNNNNNNNNNNNNNNNNNNNNNNNNNNNNNNNNNNNNNNNNNNNNNNNNNNNNNNNNNNNNNNNGGGCUUCGGGGGCGGCACGAGGGGCACCGGGGCGGCGCCGGGGGUGGCGGGGCGAUGGUGGUGGCGGCGUUGGGUGUCGGGCGAGGAGAGAGAGAGAGAGUGGCCGUUUGAGAGAGAGAGAGAGAGNNNNNNNNNNNNNNNNNNNNNNNNNNNNNNNNNNNNNNNNNNNNNNNNNNNNNNNNNNNNNNNNNNNNNNNNNNNNNNNNNNNNNNNNNNNNNNNNNNNNNNNNNNNNNNNNNNNNNNNNNNNNNNNNNNNNNNNNNNNNNNNNNNNNNNNNNNNNNNNNNNNNNNNNNNNNNNNNNNNNNNNNNNNNNNNNNNNNNNNNNNNNNNNNNNNNNNNNNNNNNNNNNNNNNNNNNNNNNNNNNNNNNNNNNNNNNNNNNNNNNNNNNNNNNNNNNNNNNNNNNNNNNNNNNNNNNNNNNNNNNNNNNNNNNNNNNNNNNNNNNNNNNNNNNNNNNNNNNNNNNNNNNNNNNNNGAGAGAGAGAGAGAGAGGGCCGAGGUGGGGGCAGGACAACCGUUACUAGAUUCAGGACCUUUGCCGUCUCCUGGCGGACGACAAAGGGGACUAUACUCUUUGUCGUCUGCCUCUGGCAUCUUUGCCGUCAGCCAGCAGACGGCAGAGAAGGGAGUAGUUUGACCUAAGGUUCCCCCGGCCAGAUGACCUUCUUUGCCGUCUGCNNNNNNNNNNNNNNNNNNNNNNNNNNNNNNNNNNNNNNNNNNNNNNNNNNNNNNNNNNNNNNNNNNNNNNNNNNNNNNNNNNNNNNNNNNNNNNNNNNNNNNNNNNNNNNNNNNNNNNNNNNNNNNNNNNNNNNNNNNNNNNNNNNNNNNNNNNNNNNNNNNNNNNNNNNNNNNNNNNNNNNNNNNNNNNNNNNNNNNNNNNNNNNNNNNNNNNNNNNNNNNNNNNNNNNNNNNNNNNNNNNNNNNNNNNNNNNNNNNNNNNNNNNNNNNNNNNNNNNNNNNNNNNNNNNNNNNNNNNNNNNNNNNNNNNNNNNNNNNNNNNNNNNNNNNNNNCCUUCUUUGCCGUCUGCGGCUGACGGCAAAGAGUUGACUGCUGGCAAAGGCCUUCUUUGCCAUCAGCCAGUUCUUUGCGUUUGUUUUCCUGAAGCUGACGGCAAAGACACUCUUUGCCAUCAGCUAGCAGAUGGCAAAGACUAGGCAGAUGGCAAAAGACUGUUUUCGAGUAGUGGAAGUGCCACUUUAUGGUUAAUGAAGGCAUNNNNNNNNNNNNNNNNNNNNNNNNNNNNNNNNNNNNNNNNNNNNNNNNNNNNNNNNNNNNNNNNNNNNNNNNNNNNNNNNNNNNNNNNNNNNNNNNNNNNCAUCAUCAUCAUCAUCACAUGCACGUAAGUAAGUAAGUAGUAGCCACAUGCGUCCAUCCACAAUCAAACAAACGGAGAUACUCCUAGAUGAAUUCGAGCCCGCAAGGCGGGACGUCUGAAUUUGUUCAGAAUGGAGGCUGAACGGAAGUUUUUUGCUUAGCACCGUUGGUAAAAAGGCAUGGCGUGACGACGGACAGGGUGGGUAAAACAAAGGGGAGAGGAGAGGUGAGAAGAAGAGGCUACCGUUGGUGACGGGCGUACGGUGGCAGGGCACUGUGCGCUCACUGCCCGAGGCGCUGGCCCGUGGGCCUGGGCCUGGCGGUGGCCUCCUGGUGGGGGAACAGUGGUUCCUAAAGCGGCCGCGAGCAGUAGCCACUGAGCGAGCAGGGCGCAGAGCACCUCACCCUCACCCUCACCGUGCCACUAAAGUCUCGGAAGAACGGCCAGGGACGAGAAAAGCCCCGCCCAAUCCGUCCCCCACGCCCCACGCUCACGCCCGCGUCAUAAAAUCGUGGGCGUGUCCCAGUCCCAGGCUCAGCCACACUGCCACAGCCCACAGCGACGCGGCAGCGGCAGCGGCAGCAGCAACAGCGACCUCGCUUACGGUACUCUGCGCGCGCGGCAGCCGAGGGGGGAGGAGGAGGAGAUCGAGGGGGGGCAGCGGGGCAGGGCGGCAUGGGGGGCUAGCUAGAACAACAAGGAGAUGGCUGGAGAGCGACGCCCUCGGAGGCAUUAAUGGGGCCCCCAUCCACACCCCCCUGCUCCUGCUGCUGCUGCUCCCACACCCUCCCCGCGGCCGCGGCUGAUUCGCCCGCCCGCUUUUAACCGCGCGCCCCCCCUUUUCCGGACGGGACGGCUGGGCGCCAUGGGCUGCAUCGAUCUCAACGCGGCGGACGAGCCUCGCAAGGACGCGCCGGCGCCGGUGUGCCGGGACCUGUGGCACGCCUGCGCGGGGCCCGUCGUGGCGCUGCCGCNCACCUCGCCGCGGCCGGCGGCGGAGGGGACGCGCCGGUGGGCCUGCCGCCGCACGUCGCGUGCCGCGUGGUGGACGUCGAGCUAUGCGUGAGUCCUCCAGAGCGCGCCCUGCUGCUCGUGUCAUUGCUCGUUCGUUUUUUGGUCCCUUCCUGGGCUGUGGUGCCGAUCUGGUGACUGUCUCUGCUGCAGGCGGAUCCGGCGACGGACGAGGUCUACGCGCGGCUGGCCCUGGUGGCGGAGGGCGAGGUAAGGACAGAUGCUGCUCCGGUCGCUUGGCUGGAUUCAUGUGUGUGUGCCCCCAUGAGUUUUCCAUGGGAUUUUGGGGGUGUGAGGUGGAAUGUGUGGCUGCUUCGGUUGGUUUUCAGUUUCCUGCUAGCUGCAAUCAUGCAGUGUACUAAUUAAUAAUGCCUACAUUUUGUUUACCUCUGUAAAUAAACUAGGCGUUUUUGCCAAUUUCUUACUACGUAGUAGUAUAUCAUUUAGCUACGAAGUACUUCAUUUACUGCAUGCGUCUGAAUACACUCAAGACCUUCCGUCGUGCAAUGUCUCUUGAUUUAGCAUGCCUAGGCCUAUUAAUCGAACUAGGGAUACUUGCUGUAAUCGAACUAGGAGUAACUAGGAAUACCAGUACUAUAAUCUAUCAACUUAAGUUAUCAAUGCCAAAUGACAAACUUCUGGGUUUUGUUAGUUCUCUUCUACUACUACAUUUGAUUCUGUUUGUGAAGUUGAAUUGUUGAUUGUAACUAUGGACGUUUUGGAUGCGUCAUAACCGCACACUCUCGAUUUGUUCAGGUCUUUGAGAAGAACAUGGGAGGUGGUAGGUUUGAAGGGGAAGAUGACAUGGAGGAUGUCGAUGGAGAAAGGAAGUCCCGGAUGCUGCACAUGUUUUGCAAGACACUAACGGCCUCUGACACAAGCACACACGGGGGAUUCUCUGUUCCCCGCCGUGCUGCCGAGGACUGUUUCCCUCCAUUGGUGAGUGAGUUUGAAAAUUAUAUUUUGUCCAUUUGGCUCUUGAAAUGAUUCCUUGUUUUCGUGGUUUGUAUUGCGCCUCUAACCACUUUGAUUUUAUUGUUUCUUUUUAGGAUUACCAGCAGAUCAGGCCUUCCCAAGAGCUUGUUGCAAAGGAUUUGCAUGGAGCGAAGUGGAGGUUCCGCCAUAUCUAUAGAGGUGAGAUCAUGCUGAAUGUAGUGCUUGACCACGCGUAUGCAAUGCUCUUUUUUGCAUUAUGCAUUAUUUUUUUGUUGCUUGUAAACGUUACACAUGAUGCUUCAGUUGGAAGAUUAUGUAAUAUGUAUAAUAUUUCCAUCUAAUCAUUUAUUCGGAGGCAAAGAAAGUCCACUGGAGAAAGCUCUCUGUAACUGCUUUUUAGUCUUCAUUCAAACACACAUACCGGCUCUUUUAGUGAGCAUUGUUAAAUAUAUGGAAGAUGCAGGCUCAACUAUAAAUUUCCACUUUCAGCUCACAGGUAGUUUUUUUGUAAGCAGGGCAUUAUUAUUGAUCUCUUUUUUCUGUUUAGCCCUUCAAUAAACUGGCAUAAGUUCCCUUGGUAACCUUUCCCAGCACCACACCUAUGCUUCGUAAGCAGGUUUAUUUACACUGCCCAAAAUUUACAUUAUUUUUCUCUGUUUAUUGUAACACAAUGCCUUACAGAAGUUGUAUUUUCGAAAUAAUGGUCAAACUGCUCUCUGCGGUCCUAUCAUUCAUUCUGAUUUUGAAGCAAAUACUCCCUCCGUCCCAAAAUAAGUGUCUNNNNNNNNNNNNNNNNNNNNNNNNNNNNNNNNNNNNNNNNNNNNNNNNNNNNNNNNNNNNNNNNNNNNNNNNNNNNNNNNNNNNNNNNNNNNNNNNNNNNUGAUCUAUUUUGAACUCCUUCAAAACUUGUCAAGGCAUGCAUUUUGUUGAAAUUUCUAUUAAGUGUUUUGAUCUAUCUCCAUAGAUCUUGAUGCUCAACGUUCAAGUAGCUCAAUACAGGUAUUCCUUUGAAAACUCCUUUCAAACAACCUUGUAUGCUUUACAGAAAUUCUACAUUACUUCUGAUCCACAAUAUAUCAACCACAUAUACUUAUCAGAAAUUCUAUAGUGCUCCCACUCACUUCUUUGGAAAUACAAGUUUCUCAUAAACCUUGUACAAACCCAAAAUCCUUGAUCACCUCAUCAAAGUGUAUAUUCCAACUCCGAGAUGCUUGCACCAGUCCAUUGAAGGAUCACUGGAGCUUGCAUACUUGUUAGUAUUUUUAGGAUCGACAAAACCUUCUGGUUGUAUCACAUACAAUGUUUGCUCAAGGAAACCGUUGAGGAAACAAUGUUUUGACAUCCUAUGUGCAAUAUUUCAUAAAUAAUGCAGCAACUACUAACAUAAUUCCAACAGACUUUUAGCAUCGCUACGAGUGAGAAAGUCUCAUCAUAGUCAACUGUUUGAUCUUGUCAGAAACAUCUUUGCGACAAGUCGAGCUUUUAUUAAUAGUGACUUAUCACCAUCGUCGUCUGUCUUCCUUACUAAGAUCCAUCUUUACUCAAUAGUCUUACUACCAUCAGGUAGUUCCUCCAAAGUCUACACUUUGUUUUAUAUAUGGAUCCUCUCUCGGAUUUCAUGGCCUCAAGCCAUUUGUCGGAAUCCGGGCCCACCAUUGCUUCUCCAUAACUCGUAGGUUCACUAUUGCUCAACAACAUGACCUCCAAGACAGGGUUACCGUACCACUCUGCAGUAGUACGCGACCUUGUCAACCUACUAGGUUUGUAGUAACUUGAUCCGAUGCUCGAUGAUCACCCUCAUCAGCUUUCACUUCAAUUGGUGUAGGCGCCACAUAAACAACUUCCUGCGCCCUGCUACACACUGGUCAAAGUGACGGUUCAAUAACCUCAUCAAGUUCUACCACCCUCCCACUCAAUUCUUUCGAGAGAAACCUUUCCUCGAGAAAGGAUCCGUUUCUAGAAACAAACACUUUGCUUUCAGAUCUGAGAUAGGAGAUGUACCCAACUGUUUUGGAUAUCCUAUGAAGAUGCAUUUAUCCGCUUUGGGUUCGAGCUUAUCAGACUGAAACUUUUUCACAUAAGUGUCUAAGCCCCAAACUUUCAAGAAACGACAGUUUAGAUUUCUCUAAACCUCAUUCUAUACUGUGUCAUCUUAACGGAAAUACGCGGUGCCCUAUUUUAAAGUGAAUGCGGUUGUCUCUAAUGCAUAACCCAUAAACGAUAGUGGUAUUUCGAUAAGAGACAUCAUAGUAUGCACCAUACCAAAUAGUGCGUGGCUAUGACAUUCAGACACAUCAUCACACUACGAUGUUCCAGGUGGCAUGAACUGCGAAACAAUUUCCACAUUGUCUUAACUGUGUACCAAAACUCGUAACUCAAAUAUUCAUUUCCAUGAUCAUAUCGUAGACAGUUUAUCCUCUUGUUACGACGAACUUCACUCUGAAACGGAAUUGAACUUUUCAACAUUUUAGACUUGUGAUUCAUUAAGUAAAUACUCCUGUAUCUACUCAAAUCGUCACUGAAGUAAGAACAUAAUGAUAUCCACUGCGUGCCUCGGCACCCAUUGGACUGCAUACAUCACAAUGUAUCACUUCCAACAAGUUACUAUCUUAUUUCAUCUCAAUGAAAACAAGGCCUUGCUCAUGUGAUAUGAUUCGCAUCUCACUAGUGAUUCGAAAUCAGGUGAGUACAAAGAUCCAUCAGCAUGGAGCCUCUUCAUGCAAUUUAUACUAACAUGACUCAAGCGGCAGUGCCACAAGUAAGUGGUACUAUCANNNNNNNNNNNNNNNNNNNNNNNNNNNNNNNNNNNNNNNNNNNNNNNNNNNNNNNNNNNNNNNNNNNNNNNNNNNNNNNNNNNNNNNNNNNNNNNNNNNNCUACACGAUAGUUCAGUGCAAAAUACUUAAUGGCUUAGAAGCAAGGCGCCGAAGACGUUUUGAAAUGUCACGGAACAUAAGUGAUGUUCUAAAGAGAUGAAAUUGUGAUUUCAUGCUUGUGCCCUUGUUAAGAGGUACGAGACCUCCAACAAGAUUCUUUGUCCACAAAGUAAAGGAGAAAAGCUCAAUCGUUGAGCGUGUGCUCAGAUUUUCUGAGUACGACAAUCGNNNNNNNNNNNNNNNNNNNNNNNNNNNNNNNNNNNNNNNNNNNNNNNNNNNNNNNNNNNNNNNNNNNNNNNNNNNNNNNNNNNNNNNNNNNNNNNNNNNNNNNNNNNNNNNNNNNNNNNNNNNNNNNNNNNNNNNNNNNNNNNNNNNNNNNNNNNNNNNNNNNNNNNNNNNNNNNNNNNNNNNNNNNNNNNNNNNNNNNNNNNNNNNNNNNNNNNNNNNNNNNNNNNNNNNNNNNNNNNNNNNNNNNNNNNNNNNNNNNNNNNNNNNNNNNNNNNNNNNNNNNNNNNNNNNNNNNNNNNNNNNNNNNNNNNNNNNNNNNNNNNNNNNNNNNNNNNNNNNNNNNNNNNNNNNNNNNNNNNNNNNNNNNNNNNNNNNNNNNNNNNNNNNNNNNNNNNNNNNNNNNNNNNNNNNNNNNNNNNNNNNNNNNNNNNNNNNNNNNNNNNNNNNNCGAUGUUUGACACUGCGAAAGUAGAAAUCAAGAAGGAGCAUCAAUAGUUGAUGGUUUGUAAAACCACUAAGUUUCAAGAAAGGCAAGGGCUAGAAGGGAUACUUCGUGAAACGGCAAAACAGUUGCUGCACUAAUGAAGAGACCCAAGAUUAAACCCAAACCCGAGACUAAGUGCUUCUGCAAUGAGGGGAACAAUCACUGAGGCGGAGCAACUCAAGAUACUUGGUGGAUAAGAAGGCUGGCAAAAGUCGAAAGAAGUGUAUUUGAUAUACAUGAUGUUGAUGUGUACUUUACUAGUACUCCUAGUAGCACGAGGGUAUUGGAUACCGGUNNNNNNNNNNNNNNNNNUAUCAAGGAUAGAUACAUUGAUCUUUGAGUGAUUCGCGAUGUUUGACACUACGAAAGUAGAAAUCAAGAAGGAGCGUCAAUAGUUGAUGGUUAGUAAAACCACUAAGUUUCGAGAAAAGCAAGGGCGAGAAGGGAUACUUCGUGAAACGGUAAAACAGUUGCUCCACUAAUGAAGAGACCCAAGAUUAAACCCAAACCUGAGACUAAGUGCUUCUGUAAUGAGGGGAACAGUCACUGAGGCGGAGCAACUCUAGAUACUUGGUAGCUAAGUAGGCUGGCAAAAGUCGAAAGAAGUAUAUUUGAUAUACAUGAUGUGUACUUUAUUAGUACUCCUAGUAGCAUGAGGGUAUUGGAUACCGGUACGGUUGCGAAGUGAUUAGUAACACGAAAUGAUAGCUACGGCAUAAACGGAGACUAGCUAAAGGCGAGGUGACGAUACGUGUUGGAAGUGUUUCCAAUAUUGAUAUGAUCAAAACGUCGCACGCUCCCNNNNNNNNNNNNNNNNNNNNNNNNNNNNNNNNNNNNNNNNNNNNNNNNNNNNNNNNNNNNNNNNNNNNNNNNNNNNNNNNNNNNNNNNNNNNNNNNNNNNUUUGCUAGUUUAACUAUGCCGACUUGUCAUAUUUACUAACAAUUACCAACAAAAAGAUUUUUCUAGUCGUCGAUUUUAAAUAUACUGUGUUGUCAUAUUUUUACAUGUUAUCGUCCUAAAAAUGUUGUUUGUGCUUGCUCGUUUGAUUAUGUCGAGAUGUCAUAUUUAUACGCAAUUUCUAAAAAAUAUGGCGAUUAAGUUAACUUUUAUCACACAAGUAAGUAUUUACUAAUAUGAUAAGUACGUACAACAAAUGUGGUAAGUACGAGAAACAAAAAAGUUGUCGAAACAUAUCGAUAUGGGAUCUAGCUUUAAAUAUUUCGUCGAAACAAAGUCAAUGGCAAAAACGAAUCAUAGAUCGAAUUAAUGGUUUGAAAGAUAAAACUUUUUGAAUUUUAAUCAUUUUGAAAAAAUCUGAUGACAUCAUUACAUGAAUGCAUGCAUGCAUGACUCACGAAGGAAGAGGGUUUGACCGCAACAUCACAUUGCUUUUUUUAAAGUAACAUGAUUAGUAAAGCACUAAAGUAACGCUACUUUUUAUUAAGAUGGUGAUUAGUUCGACCGCCGCACCGCAAGACGCACGUGCGGCGCUGCUGGCUAGCGUUGUCCCUCUCUCUCUCUAUAUAUAUAUAUAUUACAAAAAAAUAUUCUAUAACUAAAUUUUAUAAAAUAUUAAUCAAACAUUCAGAAAAUAUUGAACGUGUAUGGAGAAGAUGUUGAUCAUGUAUUAAAAAAUAUUGAAGAAAUAGUUGAAAAAUUCUAAUCAAGCAUUCUGAAAAUGUUGAACGUGUAGAUAAUAUUUGUGAAUCAUGCAUUAAAAAAUAUAUUUUAUCACGUAUAUAAAAAUAUUAAUCAAGCAUUUGAAAAAUAUUAAACAAGUAUUUCAAAAAUGUUAAUAUGGCAUUUAGGAAAUGUUAAAUGCAAAUUAAUUUUUUUUGACCAGGUAUUAUUACAAUAAUGAAAAUAUAUGAUCACGUAUAUAAAUACGUUAAUCAGGCAUUUGAAAAAUUGUUGAACAAGUGUUUGGGUAAUGUUAAUGUAGCGUUUAGAAAAUGUUAAAUGUGUAUAGAAAAUAUAUUAAUCAUGUAUUAAAAAUAAUAUUUUAUUUGAAAACUGUUAAUCAAGUAAUUAGAAAAUGUUAGUCAUGUAUUCAAAAAAUGUCAAUCUUGUAUGUGAAAAAUGUUAAUCAAGCAUUUAAAAUGUUAAAAAUGUGUCUACAUAGAUAUUGAUCAUAUACUAAAAAAUGUUAAAUUGGUACUUGAAAAACGUUAAAUGUGCAUUGACAUAUAGAUAAAAGGAACAAUAAAAACGAAAAGAAACAAAGAACACCCAAAAACCCGAGAAAGAAGCAAAAUAAAUCAAAGAAAAAAAAGAUAAAAAACUAAAUCCCAAGAAACAAAUGCAAAAGAGAAUGAAAAAAGAAUACAGAAAAAGACAAAGAAGAAAACCUAAGAAUAUGAGCUCGAGUUGCCUCAAGAAGGACGCCCCCUACCCCUAUGUUAGAAAACGUAGUAGAAACAAAUCACACUAUGAAGAUAUGAUAAUGUUGGGAUCACGAUCGUUACCGUCACCAAGUUCCAUCGGGAGAAGAACAUGACGAUGUAGAUUGUACUUGGAGUCCCUCAGACCAUAGAUGAAUGAUCUCGCAAACCGCCCACGAGCGAUCGCACAAACUAAAAACUGAAAGCACUACCUCUCUAGUUGGUUGCAAGCGUACGGUCUUCAUGAUCCGUCAUUGUUUCAACGUCUAGAGCUAAUCGUGUUGGGGAAUGAUGCAUGGGAAACAAAAAAAAAA
rnacentral:lncRNA from 1 species